UGCUGUUGCUGUGUGAUGGGCCGAUGGCAAGGCGAGGGAGCUGCGGAUGGAUGUAGCCCGUUUAUAUGGAUCGUGGGUAGUUUUUUUACCGUGCCCGCCCGAGACAGAAUCCUGACGAGGUUUGCUCCUCCGAGCUGUAACAACAAUGUACUAAUGCAGUCUUAUUACUGCUACUAAUGUUGAUUUCUUUUCAGUUCCUUGUGUAGUUGUGUUGUGUGCCUGGGUUACGAUCUCCAUGCGUGAUGCGUCAGAAGUUUAUACGCCUUCAGUUCGUGUGCUUGUGUUGCAACGCAGAAAUUACGUCCAGAUUUCGGGGUAUGAACUUGAGAAGGAACAGUUCUUUUCUUUUUGAACUUGAUUGAUGAGAAUGAACAGUUCGAUUCAUAGGAUCCGGGUAAAACUGACGCAUUAUUUGGACGCCAGGCCACCAAUCGUGUCCCCCGAGUACACUGCACCGGGAGAUUCCUUUCCCUUGUUUACGGCACAUGAUAUCUCCUCGAGAUCAAACAAUGGCGCUGCAGCAACUCCGAAUCUCAACCACAGCAGAAUAUGCCCUCAAAGAUACGCCAUGUGCACCAUCUACCACUUGUUUAGAAAAACUAAGCUGUCCCGAGUACAGUACACAAGUCACAAAACAGCGAUGGCUUUGCAGGUUUAUUGCUGAGGUAAAACGGAAACAAAAACUCUCGUCAGCAGAGGAGCAGCAGCGACGCAAGGGAGACAAUGAAGUGGAAUGAAUUCUGUUAUUCAAAAUGAGUGAUCACAAUUCACAAUUACUGAGGCAUGAUGCCCUACAAUGAAUUUCUAAUACCGCGACCUGGAACCAACCCCUUACCGCAUUCCAUUAUUCUCGCCAAAACGAAAUGAAAAAAUAAAGGUAGCACACAAUGCACUCUCACUCUCUCUGUCUGGUAUGAUAUUACAGCCUACUAGUAUACAGAAGUGCUGGGUCUCCAGCUUGACAACGAUCAGUUGUCGCAGAACGCACGGAGGGUUUCGUCCAGUGCUUUCCUGUCGUACUCACCGGUGAAAACGCAGCCUCCCAGAGGUCCUUUCAGAAGGAUGAGCCUCAGCAAUCCGUCCGCGACCUUCUUGUCGACCUGAUGCGCCAUGCAAGGAAUCAAUCAUUAAGGCUGUUUUUCAUCAAUGCUAAAAAGGAACUGAGAUGUCCAAGCAUAUCAGCCUGCUUCUGCCAAUAUUAAGGUACUUACAGCCAUGAUGUUUUUGAACUUCUCCACCGUCAUGCCCUUUGGUGGUGUCACGGGAAGCUUGGCUUGAUCUAGUAUGUCAAAUGUCCGUUUCUUGAUGGACUCGUCUAUCCAGCCCAGGCGGUAAGACAUGUCAGCUGCCAUAACCUAUCGUAGUGCCAACACGGAAACAGAAGACGACGAUAAGGAAACCAGAUAAAGUCAUGAUUAAGAGGUGUAUCAAAUAUUCAACUGGUCUUACCGUUCCAGCAGCAACGGCUUCCCCAUGGAGCCAUUCUCCAUAGCCAAGCCCUGUUUCUAUAGCCUGGCAAUUAAAUGAAACGAUUAAUGAUCAGUGAGUAGCAUGGAUGCCUCACAAAACAGAAGGUUGCUAUCGAAUUCCCAAAAAAGUUGGUGAGUUCAGGUUGCUUAUUUCCUGCUAGAGGGGUACCCAAAUAGUUAAGACAUGUAAUACCUGGUGGGAUGGUGCAGCUUAAAAAUAAAUUCAGGAUUUCAUUUUUCAAAAACAAAUACCCAUACCACAAAUAUACCAUUAACGAAGAAAAUUAUAAUUUCAGUCUGCAGAGUCAACGUACCAUAUAGACAAAGAACAUAAUGUGGUAAACUAGCAUAAAAAAUAUCAUCAAUAAGCACAACUUUGUUUCAGAUGUUAUUCACUACAGGUUUAUAGCAAUUUUUCUAUAUAAAAAAAUAAUGCUACCUCACUCAACAAAAAAAUGAAUUACAGAUCACAAUGAAAAGUAUUUGACGUUUCAAGCAAACAAAUACUAUUCUUUUUUGUUUUAUUUUUUAUUUUAGCAAGCAAAAAAAUGAGUACACGAGUCCGUUUGGAAUUACUUGUCACAAAAAUGGAUAAAAAUGAUACAUUCAUUUCUUGGACGAGUAAUUCCGAACGGAGGGAGUAGGUAGUAGCAACAAAAAUAAAGCAAACUUCUUACUGGAUUGGCAACUCAUCCAAUUAUGUUUACAUGGACCAUCAUAAUGCAAGACAGAUAAAACUAACAUAAAAAACAACAAUGGUCGGAGAUAUCACAUACAUGACCAAAUGUAUGACCCAGGUUUAGUGUUGCUCGAAGACCACUUUCCUUCUCAUCCUGAGCAACAACUUCAGCUUUGUUUUCACAUGAUCUCUUUAUAGCGUAGGUCAGGGCACUUGGUUCUCUACAAACAUACAAUUUGAAUUAAGACAUCGCCGAAGCAUGCAAAAUUGUAAUGAGAGAAAGCUAUUCCGUUAUUUCAACAAAUAAAGGUCAGCAGUAGCAUGAAUAGUAGAAGAAUGGAAUGGUUAUAUGGCUCUAUCUAAAUCCACCCUAGGGAACAGGAUAGCAAAGCAAAACAUGGAGAGCUAAGAAUGACAUGUAAAUCAAAUAGCAUUUAUAAAUUAGCUGUGGAACAUGGUAUGUUUUGUCGCUCUGUUCUGUCAAACUAAGCAGUAUGGCAUUUCAGACAGUAACAUUCAGAAAAAAAAUCAAAAUCUGAAUUAAAUCAUGCUAUUCGUAUGACUAGUGUACUUAACAAUUAAGCAUUUUGACAAAUGUAAAUAGAAAACAGAUCAUGAUUCAAACAACCAGGGAGAUGAGAACUUCUAUUCGAUGCAAAGGGGGCACUCAAUUUCUAACAGAAACCAUGGUAUUUGUUUACGGAAACAAACAGGAAACAUCAACGUCAUGAUCAAACAGCAGAUCACCGAAUAAUUAAACAAAAUAAUUUCUGUUCAGGGCCUAAGGCUGACAUACACCAUGAAACGACAGUGUUGACACCAUAUAUGCUCCAAAUAUUUCAAUAAUGGGGAUGGAAUAGGAAACUUAACCAGUUAUACUGAUAUGGGCUAAAAAACAAGAUGAGACUGCACAUCUACUUAGAAUCCACAAUUCUUAAACCUUAAUGGGUAGCGCGAAAUUGCACGUCUUUACCUCGCAAAUAUCUCAUCAUAUCAAAGUAAAAUUGGUGGUACUUAACGCCUAAUAUCAAUUUUAGAACAAAGGCAUUUCUGUUCAGGCCUAAGGCAACCUUCAAAUGACAGUGUUGAGUGUUGACAACAUAUAUUCUCGAUAUUUCAAAACUGGAAACGGGCAAGGAAACUUAACAAGUCAUACUAAUAUGAGCUAAAACCCCAGACAAGAUUAGACUGCACAACUACUUAGAAUCAAUAAGUAACGCCCUACAGCAACCACAUAUGUAAUGCAAUUGCAUGUCUUUACCUUGCUAAUAUCUUACUAAAUCAAAAUAACACUUGGUGACGCUGAACGCCUAAUAUCAGUUUCAAAACCUGCUUCGUACCUCGCUAAUAUUGCUGCCAUAUUCUUCUCUUGCCACUCAAAGAAGGGUGCGUCUCUUAUGAGCCCAUACUUCACCACCUCAGCGACACCUGAAGCUAGCUCUCUGUCAGGCAAUGUAUUCAAUGUCUCUGUGUCAAUGAGUACGCACUGCGGCUGGUAGAAUGCGCCAAUUAAGUUCUUUCCCAAUGGAUGGUUAAUCCCAGUCUUCCCUCCAACAGACGAAUCCACCUAAAGCAAUUCAUCCAGCCCCACAUUAGCACCAAACCAAAUGCCCUCAAACUCUAGUAAAUUUAGAUCAAGCUUUGGACCUGGGCCAUCAGAGUGGUGGGUAUCUGUAUGAAAUUGACACCACGGAGGAAUGCAGCAGCAGCAAACCCGCACAUGUCCCCAAUGACGCCGCCACCUAGCGCAACGAAUGUGCAUCUCCGGUCCAGCCGGGACUCCACCGCCUUGUCGAAAACCUUCAUCAGUGUGUCCUGCGCAUCGCAACAAGUUAACUACAUCCAAGUGAUGAGAGGAACUAAAGCACGAGUAAACCCUGAAUCCCGCACGCACCAUGUCCUUGUACUUCUCGCCGUCGGGCAGGAUCACGCUCUCGACCGACACGUUAGGGUUUUGGUGCGUGAGCGCCCAGGUCACCUUCUCCAAGUAGAGCGGCGCGACGGUGGUGUUGGUCACCACCAGAACCCUCUUCCCGAUCACAUGCCUGCAGAGAUUAGGUAACAAGCUCACCAAAUUGCCAAACGGAGCAGCCACUCGAGCUAAAACCCUGCUGAAUUCGAGUACCUCUGCAGCAGGUCGGGCUCGUCGAGGAGUCCGGGCCCGAUGUAGAUCGGGUAGCUCCGGUCGCCGAGGUCGACGUCGACCACCGUGGAGACCCUGGACACCGCCGGCGGCUGCAUCGCGGGAGCGGCGCUGGCGACGACGCGGCUCCGGUGAGCCGUCGCGGGGGAGGCGCGGAGCGGAGUGAAGGAUGAGCGAGAGGAGGAGGGGAUGGAGGCGGCGGCCGCGGCCGCGGCAGAAGCUGCGCGGGGGCGGCGGGCGGAGAUGGCUGCUCGGGAACUGGAGGAUGCAGCGGCGGCAAGCAGGGAGGAGGCAGCGGCCGCCAUGGGGGUCGUUUGGUCGCGAGACGGCGGCGGCGGCGGCGGUGGUUGUGUCCGGUAACUCCCGAUGUGGCGGGGAUUUGAGGCGGGCGUGGUGGGGUAGGUGGGGGUGGGAGCCCGCGAAGAGUUUGAGGGUCGGUCCACGCCGUCGGAUGGAGGGAUUGGAUGGCGGAGAUGGAUGCUCGGUUGGUGGAUGGGUUCACGGCCUUACGUGCGCGGGUUGGUUGGUGGAGAUGCGGGCUCGCGGGAUGGCGGCUUCGAGUCUCGCUGAAAGUGGGGUCGGUUGGUCGAUCAGCGAUGAAAAUUUCAUUUGUUUAUAUUUUGAUUUUUUGAACCAAUAUACCUUUAGUGGGCAUGACGAAUUUCUCAUAUGAAAAACGUGCUGCACAUCUUCUUGCCGACUCAUUCUUCCCACCCUAUAUAUGCAAUUUGCCUCCUCUCUCUCUCACCGUAUUUUUUUUUGAAAUGCUAACGCCUACACAUGUGGGCGUUUGCAUCUCGCCCACACGCGUGGAUCCACGUCCGUUUGUGGUUGCACGAAUCUUGGCAUGUUUGUGGUGCCACGUAGGACUGGUUUGGUGUGUGGGCAUUCAUCUGGUCGCCCACACGUCUGUUUUCACCACACGGAGGGACCGGUGUGUGGAUGUUUAGCAGUUCGUCCACACGUAAGUUUUCACUCACGCACAGGGGCCGGUGUGUGGGCAUUUAUCAGUUCGCCCACACGCCCGUCUCCUCUCCCACACCCAAAGCUGUCAAUUGCCAUGUGUUUUGCAGGUACAUGGCAACUACCCUGGUAUGCUUGUAAGUAGAUGGCAACUAUCUCUUUUACCCGAACAUGUCAGUUGCCAUGUGUUCUGCAGGGUACAUGGCAACUGCCCUAGUGUGCUUGUAAGCAGAUGGCAACUCUCUCUUUACCUUAUUUUGCCAUGUCUCUUUGUAGCGCUACACGGCAACUACGUAGUGUUAGUAGGUGGCAACUCCUAAAGUUUUUAAAUCAUGUCAACUGUAGUAAACCAGACCAUACAUGGCAACUGCCUAGUGUUAGUAGGUGGCAGCCCUUAAAGUUUUUAAAUCAUGGCAACUAUAGUAAGCCAGACCAUACAUGGCAACAACUGCAGUUGUGCAAAAAUGGUAUCUCGCACUUGACCUGAGAUGGCAACUGCAGUUGAGCAGCCAUGGCAACUGUAGUUGUCCGACAUGGCAACUGUAUUUCAACGACAUGGCAACUGCAGUUAAACGAACAUGGAAGAGGGUACAGACCAUGGCAACUGCGGGGCGCAUGGUGACUGUCAUGCUGGGCGUGCGGGACCAUGAGGUAGGAGGCCUGACGUACGGGCGUGUGGGUGUUAUCUAUUUUGCCCACGCGUAGGCAUGUGAGAAGGACCGUGAGAAAAAAGGAGGCGUGUGGGCAUUACUUGUUUUGCCCACACGUAGGCGUAUGGGCUGAUCCUCUUAGACACCGCACAAAACGUGUGGGAAGACCCGUUAACGCCCACACGUGUGGGCGUUAUCGGCGUCCUUUUCUUUAAACUUUCGUUGUAUUUAUCAUCAAUCAUGGCAGCGCGACGAAUACCAGGAAGAAUAAAAAUUACAUCCACAUCCGUAGACCACCACUGAAGUGAGCAGAAGGCGCGUCGCCGUCAUCGCCUCUCCCUCGUCGGAGCCGGCAAAAUUUAUUGUAGACGACAGUCGGGGAAGUCAUCAUGCUAAGGCCUCAUAGGACCAGCGCACCAGAACAGCAACCGCCGCCGAUGAAGAGAAGCGUAGAUCAGAAGGGUCCAACCUGAAAACACAAUGAUGUGGACGAACGAUGACUGGAUCCGAGCGGAUCCACCAAAAAUAACCACAGACUGAAUCCUGCGAGAUCCGCCAGAGACACACCUCCACACGACCUUCAGUGAUGCUAGAUGGACCGCUGGGAUGGGGGCUAGGCGAGAAGAACCUUAUUCUAUCUUCAAGGAGCCGCUGUCGUCUCGUUUUCCUGAGUAGGACACAAAACCUAGCAAAACAAAGAAACGUAUAAAACGGAGCCCUCCCACAUGACCCUAUCCCUAAGGCCACACGAGACGAAGCAGGUUGGCGGUGCCGUAGACGGGAGUCAUAAACCCUAGCUGCAGUUAGCUUGGAGGAGAGGCGAAGGGGUAAGUCGCAAGCAGAAUACGAGGGGAGUCUUCUCUCUCACUGUAUAUAUUUAUAUUAGGUAGGAUAUUAGUUGCACAUUAUAUUAGGCAUGGUAAUAUAUCAAUUACUUUUUCGCGGGAAUGGUAAGAUAUUAAUUACAUGGCAGAUUUCAAGGGAUAGCAUUGAGUCAAAACGUGUUUAUAACCAAUGGCAGUGGUGGGUAAUUAGAGCGUUAAACGUGUUUGGUGCUCAACAUUGGAGCGAUUUGAACCGCUAGAUAACAUGAUUUGACGGUCGAGAUGGUUUGGAUCUGCCCAUUUGGGUCUUUUUAUAUUGGUAUAGAUACAUGUGUGUUGCAAGAAGAUAUAUAAAUAUUCUAGUAUCUUAUCCCGUAAUUUACCUGCUCAUAUUAGUGUGGUUGUGUAAGUAAAUGUUUAGAAAAUUAGGUAUGUUAUUUACCUAUCUAAAUUGAAAUCACUUAUUUGUUAAUAAGUUAUUGGCUUACCAAAGUAAGCAUCAUUUUAUUUGGUAAGUCAAUAAAAGGUGGGUUGUUAAGAUAGUUUUCAAGAAAAAACAGAUAAAAACCAGAGAAAAGAGGAAAAAAGUCAAAACAGGUAGACAUAGAGGGGGAAGUGUAUGUAGGGUUGGAUGAAAUACCCCUUCCGAUGGGAAAAAAAGAACGAUAUUCUUUAUUUAAGUCACGGGGAUUAGAGAUAAACCAAUCGCUUCGCUGUACAUGGAUGAGGUUGACGAUGAGGUGGACCAGAGAAUGAUGAUGCUUUCACAAACUAAAUGUUGUUUGGUAUUUCUCGUCGGUAAACCCUAAACAUACAUUUAGAAGCAAGAGUGCAUAUUUGCGACUCUCCAAUAAAGCAUACAAAGUGUGUACUUGGAGCCAAGAUGAUGUUUAUCACUCUUUGGGUGAGAUCUGCAAAGGCCAUAAUGCCCUGGGUUGUCACAACCCAAGUUUAGGAAAUAGAGUUAGGAGUUGAUUGUGCAUCAUUUUUGUUUAACUGUAAAAUUGAGGAUGAUUUGAAACCUCCCAAAUGCUUUAAAAUGCUCUAGAAAAAUAAUCCAAUAAUAUAUGUCCUUCGGAAAUCCUAGAAAAUUUAUCAUAGCUUCCUCUAUAUAUGAGAAGACUCCCUAUAAAUUUUCAGGAAUAUAACACACUUCUAGUUCAAACCUCCAUUCGCAUUUUAAAUUGGUUUAUAUUUUUAGCAAUAAAAUAUUUAUUUGGAUCUGGAAUAAUCUAGAAAAGCCUCAUCAAUUUUGCAAUGGGCUGAAAAAAAAAUACUUGUUUGAAUGGUUAAAACGCGAAAUAAUAAUGGUUAUGAUCAGGAAGUCUGGAUAAUUUUUUAGGCUUCUUUUUAAACUACGGUACCUGAAAGGAUCGAGAAGAGGUGUCUAGAGGGGGGUGAUUAGACCCUCAACAAAGAAAUGUAGCAGUUUUUAAGUUCUUCAAGUUAAGGUGGAGUUUUAGCACAAGUUUAAACAUUCACAAUACAUUUCAAGCAAGCAUAGCAAGAGUAUAUGAGCAGCGGAAAGUAAAGCAUGCAAGUUGCAAGAAAGUAAAGGGAUGCGAUUGGAGUGUGCAAACGUGAUUGGAAACACGGAGAUUUUUGGCGUGGUUCCGAUAGGUGGUGCUAUCGUACAUCCACGUUGAUGGAGACUUCAACCCACGAAGGGUAACAGUUGCGCGAGUCCACGGGGGGCUCCACCCACGAAGGGUCCACGAAGAAGCAACCUUGUCUAUCCCACCAUGGCCAUCGCCCACGAAGGACUUGCCUCACUUGGGUAGAUCUUCACGAAGUAGGCGAUCUCCUUGCCCUUACAAACUCCUUGGUUCAACUCCACAAUCUUGACGGAGGCUCCCAAGUGACACCUAACCAAUCUAGGAGACACCACUCUCCAAAAGGUAAUAGAUGGUGUGUUGAUGAUGAACUCCUUGCUCUUGUGCUUCAAAUGAUAGUCUCCCCAACACUCAACUCUCUCACACAGAUUUGGCUAUGGUGGAAAGAUGAUUUGAGUGAAAAGCAACUUGGGGAAGGCUAGAGAUCAAGAUUCUUGUGGUUGGAUUGGAAUGUGGUCUCAACACAUGAGUAGGUGGUUCUCUCUCAGAAAAUGAAUGCUGGAAGUGUAGGCAUGUUCUGAUGGCUCUCUCACCUAUGGAGAGGAGGGUGGAGGGGUAUAUAUAACCUCCACACAAAAUCUAACCGUUACACACAAAAGAGCCAACUCGGUCAGACUGAAUAGGCGAACUCGGUGAGACCGAUUCAGUUCAAAAUGUGAAUGUUGGGAUUUUCGAUGGGACCGAUAUGAUCAACUCGGUGGGACCGGUGUGCUAGGGUUAGGGUAAAACCUCAGCUCGGUUUGACCGAUUACACAAACUCGGUGAGACCGAUUUUGGUAAUAAGCAAACAGAGAGUUGGUCAAGCAAGCUCGGUGGGGCCGAAUGCAUAUCUCGGUAAGACCGAAAUAAUUGCAAUAGGCAACAGAGAGUUUGCAAGCCUAUCUCGGUGAGGCCGAGAUCCCAUCGGUGAGACCGAACUGUUUAGGGUUUCUGGCUAUGGCUAUGUCAAGUGAACUCGGUGGCGCCAGAUGAAUCAAAUCGGUGGGGCCGAGUUCGACUUUAGGUUUAGGACAUAUUUGGAAUUGAGAAAGUGGUUGAGGGCUUUGGAGCAUAUCACUAAGCACUUUGAGCAAGUAGACCAUUAAGCAACACCUCAUCCCCUUUUAAUAGUAUUGGAUUUCCUAUGGACUCAAUGUGAUCUUGGAUCACUAAAAUAGAAAUGAAGAGUCUUGAGCUUUUGCCAAUAUUUGUCCUUAGCAUUUUGAAGGGGUACUACAUCCUCUUGUCCAUGCCACACCUUUGAUGAACUUUCUGAAAUAUACUAGAUGAAACUAUUAGUCCAAUAAGAGAUAUGUUGACAUUAAUCACCAAAAUCACCCAGGGAGCACUUAUGCUUUCAGUAUCCCCUUUUUGGUAAUUAAUGACAACAUACAUCAAAGCCUUAGAUAAAAGAUAUGAAUAAUAACAAGUAAAGCUUUGGAAGGACAUGUAACAUGCAUAGGCUCCCCCUACAUGUAUGCAAUCAUGUAAAUAAAGACACUAGUACAAUGAGCUGCUAUACAAACGGUUUUUAACCCCUUUCUGCGACGGCAUUUGGAACCGUCGCCAAGUGAGUGUGGGCGAUAGGGGGGGUCCUUCCCACACGACCCAGAAAUCGUCGGGGAUAUGCCCUCCUGGCACACACGCUCGGCAAAAUGAGGUCGUGUGCGACCGACGAGCGACCAAAUACGGUUAUACGUACAGUAGUGCUCAAAAAAUACAAUUAUACAGGCGAAACCAUUUCCGGUCGUAAGUACAUCCCACACGGUCAGUCCCCGCUAAACAUUUUUGUUCGUAUAUACAUCCCACACAGUCGCUCCAAAGAAAACGUUUCUGUUCGCAGGUACAUCACACACAAUUUUCCCCGUUAAAUCGUUUGUGAUAGCGUUUCCAUUGCACACGGUAUUAACAAUUUUAUCACUUGCGUUAUUGAAUGCAUCACACACGGUGCAUAGAAGAAACUGUGUGGCAAAGGCUGUCCAUCACACACAGUUUUUAUGUGGUAAACGUUUGCGCCAGGUGGCCUAACGCAAACAGUUUUCAAGAGGAUGUCGUGUGUGAUUGUUCAUUAAUCUAACAUGGUUUAUUUCUAGAAACUGUGUGCGUUGCCUGAGGUCAUCGCCCACUGUGUUUUCUCAAUAACCGUUUGCAAUAGAAAAACCCAAUUAGCAGGCUAAUUAUCUUAUUAUUAAUAAUCCAUUUAUUAAUAUAAUUGACAUUUCAUAUUAAGCACAUAAUAUAUUUCAUUUUCAUAAUUGAAAUACAUCAGAGUACAACAUCAUAUAGCUUCAGCACUCAGCUACCCCAUUACACAACUGCACCAGCACCAAGUUUCACAUGCAACAUCUAUAACGUUUCGAAAUUAGCAUCAUAGACGGUACAUAGACAGAUGUAUCUCAUCUGGAAAACUGCCGAAGUAGAAGGCGAAUAUUGAGCCUUCAUUGAUGUUGAAGGUCUUUGCAACUUUAGGCCAGUGCCUGUGGAUGAUUGACCGUCCAUCAUUCGUCCUCUUCAGGAACACUUCAAUAUUGAACCGUGGGUGUUGUAUGAAUACCUUCCUCGCCUCCUGACCGUACAGGUGGUUUGAGAUGUAAUCAUCAGUUAACUGCUUUGGAAAGGCCUGAAAACAAGGAUGUGCAUAAAUAUUUUCUCUAUAUUGGAAAUGGGGCAAAGAAAUAAAAAAGGCUAGGUAUAAUAGUUAGUACCAUCCUGUAGUGAACUGAUGUCUUCUUCAUUGUGCAGACAAAGAUCUUGUUGUUUUUUGUCGCUAAUUUCUUUAUCCUAACAAUCUUUGUGAGUUUCUUGACUUGACUGAUAUUCAUGGACAACUCAUUUCCCCAUAUACAAAAAGGGUCGAACAGUGGGUCAAAACCUCUGACGGCAGGACCUACAUGUGCAAGAUCAAAUUGUUAAAAACCUAAAUAUUAGAAUGGUUCCUGCAAUUGCACAAUAUGUGCUAUUAGACGAAGGACCAUGCAUGUGCAAACCUCGAUUGUAAACCUCAGUGCUUCCCAUUGUUUCCCUGUAACACAUAUAAGGUAGUUAGUCAUCAGGUUAAGUGAGGGUUCGCAUGCUAUCAGUAAAAUAUGUUGAUGAAAAAUAAGCACAUUGCAGAUUCAUCAGAUUAAUUCAAGCCACAUGGAAAACCCAUUUAUCCAAACCAAGCAUGAUCAAGAACUAGGAAAUAUAGCGCUUGUAUAUGUUUCUCAUGUAUUAAGUGCAGCCAAAUUCGAUUUAUUCCUCACAUGCAUAACAAUACAAAGUUCUACCCACGACAGUUGGACAUCGCAUUGCAGAAUUGAACCAAGCAGUUAACUAAACACCACAACAAAUGAACCAAACAUUAACUGAGCACCACAUUGCACAAUAUAACAUACUCCUAAUAGAAGAUCAGACAGUUAACCAAACCAAGCAUGUUUAACAACUUGGAAAUAUAGCAAUUGUAUUUGUUUCUCGUGUAUUUAGUACAACCAAAUUCAAUUUAUUCCUCACAUGGUAAACAAUAAUAGAAUGCACCCACAAUAAUUGAACAUCGCAUUGCAGAAUUGAACCAAACAGUUAAUUAAAUACCACAGCAAAUGAGCCAAAUGUUAACUGAGCACCACAUUGCACAAUAUAACAUACUCCUAAUAGAAGAUCAGAUAGUUAACCAAACCAAGCAUGCUUGACAACUUAGAAAUAUAGCAAUUGUAUUUGUUUCUCAUGUAUUUUGUAAAGAAAAAUUCAAUUUAUUUCUCACAUGGAAGACAAUUCAAAAUUGCACCCUGAAGAAUUGAAUAUCACAUUUGCAGAAUUGAACCAAACAGUUAACUGAACACGACAACUAAUUAACCAAACAGUUAAAAGGGUGGGCUUGAGAAAACGCCACGAACUGUCGGUUAAAGCAGCCAACCACGUGGCCUCGACGGUGAGGUGCGCCUCCAAGAUCUGGGGGUCGGCACGAAUGGCAGCCAUCGUGACCUCAUCCGCGCGUGCGGCCACGGUUUGCUUCUCCAUUGCCAAAUGCUCCUUGAGAUCCUGGCUAUACUGCGUGCACCAUGGCUUAGGGCGGCGCUUAUUUGGUGGAGGGGUCGUGAUUUGGGUGGAAGGUGUCGCGCCGGCGGUCGAGGCAUGUGGGAUGUGGAAGAAGGAGGAGGAUGGGGGUCGGGUGUGGAUUACCUGCCUAGAUAGACGAGGCCGAGCAGCGUGAAGGAGGGUCGCCGGCGAGGAGGCGGCGCUGCAAACAAGGAGUGAAGGUUUCAACUUGGAAAGGAAGAUGAAAAUAGGGGAAAUGUGGCUUUUGGUAAGGGGGAGGGGGCGGGGAGGUAGAUAUUUCCGCGGAAGCCGGAAAUUUGGAAUCGCUUCAGCGAAAAAACUGGCGCGCAAAGCGUCAUCAGGCACGGUCCCUUAUUCAGAACUGUGUAUGAUAUGUGAACAUCACAAACGAUUCAGAUAGCUUAACCAGUGCGUGAUGAGUUUGAACGUCAAAAUUUUGGUUCGAAUUUCCCUGUUACAGUGGUCAUCCACGUCAUUGCAUAAUUUGGGUACACAAAGGAGACUACAGCACACCCACACUUCUUAAUCUAGCAAGUUCAGCAAUUAAAUAGAGCUAGCUGACCUAAACAUUACUCUAACAAAUUAAAGACCAGCGCUCUUAAUUAAACAAAACAAAGAGUACUUCUAUGGCUGGUGCUCGUCGAUCUCCGCCGUCGCCUCCAUGUCCAGCUCGCGCCUGACGGUCUUCUGGGAAAGGGGCUCCAUGGCAUCCACACACCAUACUCGGCAAGCAUCUCGCCAUCCGCAUCCGCCAUCUCUUUGGAAUAGGCCGCCACGAGCUGGGCGUGGGCGGCCGCGAUCUAGGCUUUGGCGGGCUCCGUCGUGGCAAGGUAUGCCACGCAAGAACGGACGGCUGCUCGAACGCUCUCAGCGAUUGCCAACUCUUCAGCCAUGGGUUGCCGACCGUUGUCGGAGAAGCUUCGUUUGAUUUGUGCGGUGACCGCCAUGAGCUGGGCGUGGGCGGCCUCGACAUGGUCGUGGGCGGCCUCCAUCAGAGCUAAGGCCACCGCUGCGGAACGGACAGCUGUUGUGCCGCUCUUGCCAGUUGCUAUCCCCGAGGCAGAUGUUGCCGCCGCCGCCUGAGAAGCAACAGCGGCCGUUUGGGCUGCCUUGGCCGCUCGGACGCAGAUUGCGGUCGCCCUCAUGAAGCUUGUUAGCACGCGUCUGGCGGCUGCGGCCGCGCUCUCGCCGGAGUGGGCCACCGAAGUUGCCCUCACGAUGCGGGUCCACGUCCCUAUCUUUCACCGGCGACGAUUGAAUAGUGAAAUGAUAUUUGGGGAGCGAGCUAGUCUGCUUGACACGCCGGCUGUGGAUUGUAGCCGUCGCACCUUCUCACGUAAGCCGUAUGCGUACUAUACUCCGACGGUGCUCCAAGAUAUUUUGUGCUGCAUCUCACACAGUUGGUGAUAAUAAACUGUGUGCGAUCCACUUGAUUUUUCGUCUUGAUUUGAAUUAAAUAAUGGGGUCACAGCUGCAAAGGAUGGUGUUUGAAUUGCUAGAACUUUUAUCUGCAGUAAACAUGCAACUAUAGGUGUGUCGUCAAAAAAAUUGGAAUUAUUCAGGGUUCGUUUGGACGUUUUUAUACAUUAACUUGGUUUUGUAGCCAUUUCAGGUGCAUAAUUAAAAUUUGAACUACACGCACAUGCUCUAGUGCAUAUAAACGGGUUGAAAAAUCAAAUAUGUGUCCUUGGUUGCAUGCUUAUGUCUCAUGCAAGAAAUAGGAUUGAAUGUCAAACACCCUGCCAUCGUCACUGGGCCGCAAACAUUGAGAUACCUGGGUUUUUAAAUUCUAGUAAAUCCAAAACUCACUGAAAUUCGUGAAACUUGGCACGCUAUCAUGGAGCGGCAUCAACAUGUCGUGGUAAAUUUUUUGUCCCAUUUGGGGCAGGUUUGGGUAUAAGCUUCUCUCAAACCAGAGCUUCUCACAACAAGCGUGAUGGUUUCGGUAGGGAACGUGCCACCUUUGGGGACGAAACGAUAUCCGUUGCCUCUUAUUGCUUUCAAAAAAUUUCUAGUGUCAACAUAGAACAACAGGAGUGUUGUGUUAAAUUUUGGAAUUUUUCAGGGUUCGUUUGGACAUUUUUAUACAUUAACUGGGUUUUCUAGGCAUUUUAUGUGCAUAAUUCAAAUUUUAACUACAUGCACAUGCUUCGGUGCAUAUAAAUUGGUUGAAAAAUCAAAUCUGUGUCCUUGGUUGCAUGCUUAGGUCCCAUGUAAGAAAUGACAAUGAAUGUCAAACACCCUGCCACCGUCACUCGGCCGCAAACAUUGAGAUACCUGGUUUUUAAAUUCUAGUAAAUCCAAAACUCGUCUCAAAUUCAUGAAACUUGGCAUGCUAUCAUGGAGCGGCAUCAACAUGCCGUGGUAAUUUUUUUCCCAUUUGGGGCAGGUUUGGGUAUAAGCUUCUCACAAACCAGAGCUUCUCACAACAAGCGUGAUGGUUUCGGUAGGAAACGUGCCACCUUCGGGGAUGAAACAAUAUCCGUUGCCUCUUAUUGCUUUCAAAAUAUUUCUAGUGUCAACAUAGGACAAUAGGAGUGUUGUGUUAAAUUUUGGAAUUUUUUGGGGUUCGUUUGGAUAUUUUUAUAUAUUAACUGGGUUUUCUGAUCAUUUUAUGUGCAUAAUUCAAAUUUGAACUACAUGCACAUGCUCCAGUGCAUAUAAAUUGGUUGAAAAAUCAAAUCUGUGUCCUUGGUUGCAUCUUGCAUGCUUAGGUCCCAUGCAAGAAAUGGGAAUGAAUGUCAAACACCCUGCCACCGUCACUGGGCCGCUGAUGUCGCUUGAAGCUACGUCGGUAUUUCCCCAAAGAGGAAGGGAUGAUGCAGCAGAACUGCGGUAGGUAUUUCCCUCAGAUAUGAAACCAAGGUUAUCAAACCAGUAGGAGAACCAAGCAACACAACGUAAACAGCCCCUGCACACAAAUAACAACACCUCGCAACCUGACGUGUUAAAGGGGUUGUCAAUCCCUUUCGGGGUACGGCGCCUCAAGAUAGGCAAAGGACGUGAGGUAAAUUUGUAGUAGAUUGAUAGAUGAACGCCAAAUAAAAUAGAUAAUAAUAAAAUGCAGCAAGGUAUUUUUGUAUUUUUAGUUUAAUAGAUCUGAAAAUAAACGCAAGAAAAAGUAGAUCGCAAGGCAAAUAUAUGAGAAAGAAGACCCGGGGGCCGUAGGUUUCACUAGUGGCUUCUCUCGAGAAAAAUAACAAACGGUGGGUAAACAAAUUACUGUUGGGCAAUUGAUAGAACUUCAAAUAAUUAUGACGAUAUCCAGGCAAUGAUCAUUACAUAGGCAUCACGUCCAAGAUAAGUAGACCGACUCCUGCCUACAUCUACUACUAUUACUCCACACAUCGACCGCUAUCCAGCAUGCAUCUAGUGUAUUAAGUUCAUGAAAAAACGGAGUAAUGCAAUAAGAACGAUGACAUGAUGUAGACAAGAUCCGUUUAUCUAUUGCGUUAGAUAUAUAUCCCAUCUUUUUAUCCUUAGUAGCAACGAUACAUACGUGUCGGUUCCCUUUCUGUCACUGGGAUCAAGCACCGUAAGGUCGAACCCUGAUACGUCUCCGUCGUAUCUACUUUUCCAAACACUUUUGCCCUUGUUUUGGACUCUAACUUGCAUGAUUUGAAUGGAACUAACCCAGACUGACGCCGUUUUCAGCAGACUUUCUAUGGUGUUAUUUAUGUGCAGAAACGAAAGUUUUCGGAAUGACCUGAAACUCCACGGAACAUAUUUUUGGAAAAUAUUAAAAAUACUGGAAGAAGAAUCCACAUCAGGGGGCCCACACCCUGUCCACGAGGGUGGGGGCGUGCCCCCUGCCUCCUGGGCCCCCUGACGUCCACCGACCUCAACUCCAACUCCAUAUAUUCACUUUCGGGGAGAGAAAAAUCAGAGAGAAGGAUUCAUCGCGUUUUACGAUACGGAGCCGCCGCUAAGCCCUAAAACCUCACGGGAGGGCUGAUCUGGAGUCCGUUCGGGGCUCCGGAGAGGGGAAUCCGUCGCCGUCGUCAUCAUCAACCAUCCUCCAUCACCAAUUUCAUGAUGCUCACCGCCAUGCGUGAGUAAUUCCAUCGUAGGCUUGCUGGACGGUGAUGGGUUGGAUGAGAUCUAUCAUGUAAUCGAGUUAGUUUUGUUAGGGUUUGAUCCCUAGUAUCCACUAUGUUCCGAGAUUGAUGUUGAUAUGACUUUGCUAUGCUUAAUGCUUGUCACUAGGGCCCGAGUGCCAUGAUUUCAGAUCUGAACCUAUUGUGUUUUCAUGAAUAUAUGUGAGUUCUUGAUCCUAUCUUGCAAGUCUAUUGUCACCUACUAUGUGUUAUGAUCCGGCAACCCUGGAGUGACAAUAAUCGGGACCACUCCCGGUGAUGACCGUAGUUUGAGGAGUUCAUGUAUUCACUAUGUGUUAAUGCUUUGGUCCGGUACUCUAUUAAAAGGAGGCCUUAAUAUCCCUUAGUUUCCAUUAGGACCCCGCUGCCACGGGAGGGUAGGACAAAAGAUGUCAUGCAAGUUCUUUUCCAUAAGCACGUAUGACUAUAUUUGGAAUACAUGCCUACAUUACAUUGAUGAAUUGGAGCUAGUUCUGUGUCACCCUAUGUUAUGACUGUUACAUGAUGAACCACAUCCGGCAUAAUUCUCCAUCACCGAUCUAAUGCCUACGAGCUUUUCAUAUAUUGUUCUUUGCUUAUUUACUUUUCCGUUGCUACUGUUGCAAUCACUACAAAACCCAAAAAUAUUACUUUUGCUACUGUUACCGUUACUUCCAUAUUACUUUGCUACUAAAUACUUUGCUGCAGAUACUAAGUUAUCCAGGUGUGGUUGAAUUGACAACUCAACUGUUAAUACUUGAGAAUAUUCUUUGGCUCCCCUUGUGUCGAAUCAAUAAAUUUGGGUUGAAUACUCUACCCUCGAAAACUGUUGCGAUCCCCUAUACUUGUGUGUUAUCAAGACUAUUUUCUGGCGCCAUUGCCGGGGAGCAUAGCUCUAUUCUUUGAGUCACUUGGGAUUUAUAUCUGCUGGUCACUAUGAAGAACUUGAAAGACGCUAAAACAACAAUUUAUCCCUCAACUACGAGGGGAGGUAAGGAACUGACAUCUAGCUCUGCACUUGAUUCACCUUCUGUUUUGAGUAAGCUUGCGACACCUAAACCUGCUUCUGCUAUUCAUUCUGAUAUGUCGCAUGUUAUUGAUGAUGCCACUUCUGCUAUGCAUGAUACUUAUGUUGAAACUACUUCUAUGCUUGAUACUACUGUGCCACUUGGUGAAUUUCUUGAUGAACAACUUGCUAGGGCUAGAGAAAAUUAAAUUAUUGAAACUGAUAAUAUCGAUGAUAGUGAUGAUGAAGACUCUACCCCUAAUAAAUAUGAAUUGCCUGUUGUGCCCGAGGGCUAUGUUAUGGAUGAAGAAAUUGCUAAAGCUAUUUUUGCUUGCAAAGAUAGAUAUGAUCUUAAGAAGUUAUUAGCUAAAUGGAAGCAGCAAUCUCUUAAUGUUAAAAUGAAACCUGACCCUGCUUUUGCUACUUCACCUAUCUAUGUUACUGAUAAGGAUUAUGAAUUCUCUAUUGAUCCUGAUAUAAUUACUUUGGUUGAAUCUAAUCCUUUCUAUGGCUAUGAAUCUGAAACUGUUGUGGCACAUCUUACUAAAUUGAAUGAUAUAGCCACCCUGUUCACUAAUGAUGAGAGAACUCACUACUUUUAUAUCCUUAAAAUAUUUCCGUUCUCAUUAAAGGGUGAUGCUAAGAUAUGGUUCAAUUCUCUUGAUCCUGGUUGUGUGCGUAGUCCCCAGGAUAUGAUCUAUUACUUCUCUGCUAAAUAUUUCCCUGCUCAUAAGAAACAAGCUGCUUUAAGGGAAAUAUAUAAUUUUGUGCAAAUUGAAGAAGAGAGUCUCCCACAAGCUUGGGGGAGGCUCCUCCAAUUACUUAAUGCUUUGCCUGAUCAUCCUCUUAAGAAAAAUGAAAUACCUGAUAUCUUUUAUAAUGGACUAACCGAUGCUUCCAGAGAUUACCUGGAUAGUUGUGCUGGUUCUGUUUCAGGAAAAGAACACCGGAUGACGCUGAAAUUCUAUUGAAUGAUAUGUUGACAAAUGAAAAUAAUUGGACACUUCCUGAGACUAUUCCUAAACCAACUCCAAAGAAAAGAGGUGUUCUAUUUCUCAGUCCUGAAGAUAUGCAAGAGGCAAAGAAGUCUAUGAAAGAAAAAGGUAUUAAAGCUGAAGAUGUUAAGAAUUUACGUCAUAUUGAAGAAAUACACGGUCUUAAUUUACCGCCUGUUGAAGAAACAUAUGAUCUUAAUCCUCCACCUAUUGAAGAAACUCACGGUCUUGAUAACCCGACACAGGUAGUAAAGGUAAAUUCUCUCUAUAGAUAUGAUAAAGCUGAAUCCCUCCUACUAAGUUUGCUAGCCAAUGUUUGGAUGAGUUUGAUAAAUUUAUGGUUAGGCAAGAAGAUUUUAAUGCUUAUUUUGGUAGACAAUUGAAAUACAAUUCCGAUACGCUCGAACACUUGGGCGCUUAUAUGUCUAGAGUUAAAGGUGAACUUAAACUCAUUACUAAACAUGCUUCUAUGGUUACCACUCAAGUAGAACAUGUACUUAAAGCUCAAAAUGAUUUGCUCAAUGAAUUAAAUAGUAAGAAUAAUGAUUAUGCUAUUAGAGUGGCUACUAGAACCGGCAAAAUGACUCAGGAACCUUUGUAUCCUGAAGGCCACCCUAAGAGAAUUGAACAAGAUUCUCAGAGAAAUAAUAUUAAUGCACCUAGUCCUUCUAAAAGGAAGAAAAAGAAAAAUGAUAGGACUUUGCAUGCUUCUAGUGAACCUAUUGCUGAACCACCUGAGAAUCCCAAUGAUAUUUCUAUUUCUGAUGCUGAAACACAAUCUGGUAAUGAACAUGAACCUAGUGAAAAUGUUAAUGUUGAUGUUCAUGAUGAUGCUCAACCUAGCAAUGACAAUGAUGUAGAAAUUGAACCUGCUGUUGAUCUUGAUAACCCACAAUCAAAGAAUCAACGUUAUGAUAAGAGAGACUUUGUCGCUAGGAAACAUGGUAAAGAAAGAGAACCAUGGGUUCAGAAACCCAUGCCUUUUCCUCCCAAACCAUCCAAGAAAAAGGAUGAUGAGGAUUUUGAGCGCUUUGCUGAAAUGAUUAGACCUAUCUUUUUGCGUAUGCGAUUAACUGAUAUGCUCAAAAUGAAUCCUUAUGCUAAGUAUAUGAAAGAAAUUGUCACUAAUAAAAUAAAGAUACCGGAAGCUGAAAUUUCCACCAUGCUUGCUAAUUAUACUUUUAAAGGUGGAAUACCAAAGAAACUUGGAGAUCCAGGAGUACCAACUAUACCAUGCUCCAUUAAAAGAAACUAUGUUAAAACUGCUUUGUGUGGUCUUGGAGCCGGUGUUAGUGUUAUGCCUCUCUCUUUAUAUCGUAGACUUGACUUGAAUAAGUUGACACCUACUGAAAUAUCUUUGCAAAUGGCUGAUAAAUCAACUGCUAUACCUUUCGGUAUUUGUGAGGAUGUGCCUGUUGUGGUUGCAAACGUUACUAUUUUAACGGACUUUGUUAUUCUUGAUAUUCCCGAGGACGAUAGUAUGUCUAUUAUUCUUGGAAGACCCUUUUUGACUACUGCAGGGGCUAUUAUUGAUUGCAACAAAGGCAAUGUCACUUUUCAUGUUAAUGGUAAUGAGCAUACGGUACACUUUCCGAGGAAACAACCUCAAGUCCACAGUAUAAAUUCUAUUGGAAAAAUUCCAUCGAUUGUUUUUGGAGGUUUUGAAUUUCCUCUUCCUACAGUCAAGAAGAAAUAUGAUAUUCUUAUUAUUGGGGAUGUGCAUAUCCCCGUUGAGGUAACAUAGUGUCAUUCGAAAUUUCUCCGGUUCCAUGUUAUUCGGAAUGAGUUUGUUAACAAGACUUGAUCAACCUUGUUAGUGGAUUCCUUCUGAUGAGCAUGAGAUGGAUGAAAUUAGAAAGCACAACCUUCUGUACCCUCCUUUUAUUUUCUGUUAUUUAGUUGAAAUAAAAUAAAAAUAGUAUUUAUCUGUCUGUUUUUUGAAUUAUCUGUGCAAUAUAAAAAUACCCCGAAAAUAAAAGUUCUCCAAAUGCCUUGAAAUUGAAAUAUGAUUUUUUAUGGAAUAUUUGAGAAUAUCUGGCACUGAGAACACAGCAGGGGGAGCAAGCACCUGGCCACGAGGGUCCAGGGCGCGCCCACCCCCUGGGCGCGCCCCCUGCCUCGUGGGCCCAUGGUGGCUCCCCUCCACUUAUUCCUGCAUCCACACACUUCUUCUUCCUCCCAAAAAAUCACCAUCCAGCUCAAGCACGAGUUCUAGCUCAUUUUGCUGCGAUUUUUGAUCUCCUUGCUCAAAGCACCUCUCACAAAACUGCUUUAGGGGAUUGUUCCUUGGUAUGUGACUCCUCCAUUGGUCCAAUUAGUUUUUGUUCUAGUGCUUUAUUCAUUGCAAAUUUGUGCUGCCUAGGUGACCAUGUUCUUGAGCUUGCAUGUCAAAUUUAUAUGGUUCCAAGUAGUUCUAAUGCAUGAUAUAGUCUCUAGGCACUUGUAGGAGUAGUUGCUAUCAAUUUUAUUGAGCUUGGUUCACUUUCGUUUGAAGUUACUAAAAAUUUCAGGAAUUUUUCAGAGAAAGAAAUAUGCUUAGGAAAAUAUACCAAGGUGGUUCUUCAAGGAAGCAAGGACCCAGGCUCGCAAUGCGCGAUGCCGAUGAUGAGCCACCAAGGAACGCUCCAGUGCGGCCUUGUUAAUGGCCUUCAGAAAAUUUUAUGGAUCGAGCGGGAAUCAAGGAAGAAUUUAACGCAUAUUUGCGUAACGCUGAUCUUGUGAGCUUCGAAGAAGAAAAGUGCCGCCAGUACCACUAUCUCACUAGUUCCUUUGUGAGGAGGUUUGAAUUUUCUUCUUCACGUAAUUCUCCAACUGUCCUGUUUGAUCUUUAUGAAAAAUCUUAUACGAUGGACUUAGAGGAUUUUACCACUGCUUGCAAACUUCCACAAUGGGGUAGUACUAGUGAACCUCGCAAAUCUGAAUUUAGAAAUUUUCUUGCCAAUAUAACUGUGGGGGAAUCUAGAGAUAUAGCACAAGCUACCAUAGGGAGCAUUCAUUUUCCUGCUAUACAUUAUUUUGCUCUCUUCAUAGGUAGGUGCAUAAAUGGUAAAGAUGAAGCAUGUCAUAUGUGUGUCCCUGACCUCAGCAUUCUUAGGAGUGCUGUGUUAGGAGACAAAUCUUAUAACUUGGGAGCCAUUGUUGCACGUAGGUUGCAUCAUAAUAGAUUUAAUGGAGAUUUCUUCGGUGGAAUUUAUGCAACCCGCUUAGCUGAUUUUCUUGGUGUAACCAUAUGUAAUGAUGAUAUUGAAUUGCCUCCUGCUUACCUAGACUUUAAUGCUAUGGUUCACCACCAGUUUGUCGAGAGGAAUGAAUCACCUCUCCGGUAUUGCUUAAUCUUUGACAGACGUCGUGCUGUCCGUAUUACUCUCCCUGCUCCUGCCUUCUUUGAUUAUCAGGCAAACGGAAGACAUUUUAUUACUAGAGAGGAGGCAGAUGAGUACGAGAGGAGGGCGGAGGCAGCCCGCCGCCAUGCUGCAGCUCAGGAGGCGAUAGCCGCUGCAUCUCAGUACGACCCCGGCUACAACUAUGGAUAUCCGCCAGGCCAUCCGUGGCAAUAAACCAACUUAGGCCAAAAGCCUAAGCUUGGGGGAGUACGUAUUUCCCACCGACAUUACAUUCAUGUUCGCACACACUCAUUGCUAGAUGUCGGUGCUCAUACUUUUUCACUGCAAUAUCCAUGCUAGUUUCUUUUUCUUUUUCUUGCUUUCUUCUUGUGUGUUCAAUAAACCUUAAGAAAAACCAAAAAAAUUAGUUGUAGCUUUUAUCUAGUUUUCUUUUCUCGCUGUAGUAGUAAUAAUUAAAAAGAAAACCCAAAAAGAUUUCCCGUUCUUCUUUUGCUUGUUGGGAGCUUUCCCGUGUAAAUAGUUUUAUUUCUUUUCUUUUCCUUGGGGAUCGAUAGGAGAAGACCAUAAUUAAAUUGUUGAAGUGGCUCUUAUAUGCAUUAUUGUUGACUUAACCAAGAGCCCAUACUGCCUUGUCUUCUCCUGUUUAUUGAAUGCUCGCAGAUUCUAGCUUAGUCCAAUGCACGUGCACUCUUAUUAUUUUCACAUCGUUCAGUCGUGCGAGUGAAAGGCAAUUAUGACGAUAUAUGAUGGACUGACUGAGAUGAGAGAAGCUGGUAUGAACUCGACCUCUCUUGUUUUUGUAAAUAUGAUGAGUUCAUCGUUCCUGAUUCAGCCUAUUAUGAAUAAACAUGUUUGCAAUGACAAUUAGAGAUCAUAGUUGCUUGUGCCAUGCUUGAUUAGCUAUGAGUUAUAAUGGUUUACCUUGCGUGCCAACAUGCUAUUAAAAUGGUUGUGAUGUGGUAUAGUGGGGUGGUAUCCUCCUUUGAAUGACUUAAGUGACUCGACUUGGCACAUGUUCACACAUGUAGUUGAAACAAAUCAACAUAGCCUUCAUGAUAUUUAUGUUCAUGGUGGAUUAUAUCCUACUCAUGCUCGUACUCAAUGUCUAUUAAUUUUAAUGCAUGUUCAUGACUGUUGUCGCUCUCUAGUUGGUCGCUUCCCAGUCUUUUGCUAGCCUUCACUUGUACUAAGCAGGAAUACUGCUUGUGCAUCCAAUCCCUUAAAUCCCAAAGUUAUUCCAUAUGAGUCCACUAUAUCUUCCUAUAUGCGGUAUCUACCUGCCGUUCCAAGUAAAUUUGUAUGUGCCAAACUCUAAACCUUCAAAUGAAAUUCUGUUUUGUAUGCUCGAAUAGCUCAUAUAUCAACUAGGGCUGUCCGUAUCUUCCAUGCUAGGCGGGUUAUUCUCAAGAGGAGUGGACUCCGCUCCUCACUCACGAGAAAAUGGCUGGUCACCGGGAUGCCCAGUCCCAUGCUUUAUGCAAAUCAAAUCAAAAUAAUUGCAAACAAAACUCCCCCGGGGCUGUUGCUAGUUGGAGGCACUUGUUGUUUCGAGCAAGCCAUGGAUUGAUGCUUGUUGGUGGAGGGGGAGUAUAAACCUUACCAUUCUGUUUGGGAACCGCCUAUAAUGUGUGUAGCAUGGAAGAUAUUGCCAUCUCUUGGUUGUUAUGUUGACAAUGAAAGUACGCCGCUCAAAAUAUUAUUUAUCUCUAUUUCAAAACUGAGCUCUGGCACCUCUACAAAUCCCUGCUUCCCUCUGUGAAGGGCCUGUCUAUUUACUUCUAUGUUGAGUCAUCACCCUCUUAUUAAAAGCACUAGCUGGAGAGCGCUACUGUGAUUUGCAUCCAUUACUAUUAAUCUAUGUUGGGUAUGACUAUGACUGGAUCUCUUUUACCAUGAAUUACAAUGUCUAGUCAGUCCUUGAUCUUUAAAGGUGCUCUCAUUUAUGUUUUGCGGUCUCAGAAAGGGCUAGCGAGAUACCGUCUUAUUAUAUCAUAUCAUGAUUGUUUUGAGAAAGUGUUGUCAUCUGAGAUUUAUUAUUACUGCUCGCUAGUUGAUUAUGCCAUUGACAUGAGUAAACAUGAGACCUAAGAGUUAUUGCGAAUGUGGUUAGUCAUAAUCUUUGCUGAAAACUUGAAUGCUGGCUUUACAUAUUUACAACAACAAGAGCAAACAGAGUUUGUAAAAGUUUUUCUUUAUCAGUUUCAGUUUAUCAACUGAAUUGCUUGAGGACAAGCAAAGGUUUAAUCUUGGGGGAGUUGAUACAUCUCCGUCGUAUCUACUUUUCCAAACACUUUUGCCCUUGUUUUGGACUCUAACUUGCAUGAUUUGAAUGGAACUAACCCGGACUGACGCUGUUUUCAGCAGACUUUCUAUGGUGUUAUUUAUGUGCAGAAACAAAAGUUCUCGGAAUGACCUGAAACUCCACGAAACAUAUUUUUGGAAAAUAUUAAAAAUACUGGAAGAAGAAUCCACGUCAGGGGGCCCACACCCUGUCCACGAGGGUGGGGGGCGCGCCCCCUGUCUCGUGGGCCCCCUGACGCUCCACUGACCUCAACUCCAACUCCAUAUAUUCAGUUUCGGGGAGAAAAAAAUCAGAGAGAAGGAUUCAUCGCGUUUUACGAUAUGGAGCCGCCGCCAAGCCCUAAAACCUCUCGGGAGGGCUGAUCUGGAGUCCGUUCGGGGCUCCGGAGAGGGGAAUCCGUCGCCGUCGUCAUCAUCAACCAUCCUCCAUCACCAAUUUCAUGAUGCUCACCGCUGUGCGUGAGUAAUUCCAUCGUUGGCUUGCUGGACGGUGAUGGGUUGGAUGAGAUCUAUCAUGUAAUCGAGUUAGUUUUGUUAGGGUUUGAUCCCUAGUAUCCACUAUGUUCUGAGAUUGAUGUUGCUAUGACUUUGCUAUACUUAAUGCUUGUCACUAGGGCCCAGGUGCCAUUGUAGCGACCAGACCUCAAAUGGUCUGUGCUGCUGUGCACCAGUGUCAUCCCUGGAUCAGUAAUGCUGACACGCACAGUACAAAUGGAGGAUUUAUAACAGAGUAGCAAUCACACACUUAUUACAUCGAAAAUCUCCAAAGAGAAUAAGUAUGAUAAACAUGGCUUAAGGCCAUCUAAAAACGAUAACAGCGGAAGACUUGGAAGAUAAGUGAGUCCAUCAACUCCAGCGGCAUCACUGAGUAUAAGACCACGACCUAAGGGACCUUACUCGUCGUCUGAAAAGUCUGCAAAAUGAAACGUUGCAGCCCGAAAUGGGUCAGCACAUAGAAUAUGCUGGCAAAGUAACACAUAGAGGAUAAUAAGCAAUAAUAAUGCUAUACUACAUGCAUAUAUGGCUGGUGGAAAGCUCUAUGGUUACAAUUUUGCGAAAAGCCAAUUUUACCCUACUUCAAAGGAAUAAAUUUUAUUUAACUAUCAUGGUGGUUGUGAAACAUUGAGAUGGUUGACAGCAUCUCAAUCCCAACUAAGAAAUCAUCAUUAACCCAACAAAAUUAAUUAAAAGUAACAUGGUGAUGAGAUUCACAUGAUAAUCCAAGUACUAGAUACUCAAGUUGUCCAUAACCGGGGACACGGCUAACCAUGAUUAGUUUGUACACUCUGCAGAGGCUUGCGCACUUUUCCCCAUAAGACUCGAUCUCCUCCGUUGGAUUACUCGCACUACAUGGUGUUUGAGUAACGGAUGACCGAGACACAGUCUUUCAGAAGUGUUUGCACCUUACGUAUGGGUAGACCGUUACACCUACUUUCCCCUACAUCUGCUAGUCUACCACUGUAAGAGUUCCCACAACUUAGUCAACUAUGCUAGAGCCCAUAAUAGCUUGCGGCUGCACACGGAAGUUUCUAGCAUGAAUAAUCUCAUGAUCCCUUUGAACCUGGGUGGCGGUUCAAAAGAAAAACAGGCAAUCCUGGAAUACCCAGGUACCUCAAUCCACCCAGAUGUGAGUUUUAGUUGCCACCUUAAGUAAACCAUUAAUUAACAAUCUCACAUCUGUCAUGGAAACCUCUCAAACCCAAUCCACGUCUACGAGCAUAGCAUGGCAAUAUAAUAGCAACGUAGAAGUAACUCCCAAGGGUUUGAUAAUAAAACAGGUAAUAGGUACUACCUCAACUACUUCCCAGUUCCCACAAUUUAAUUAGAUCCUAAUCAUGCAAGUGUUUGAGGAAAACAGAUCUAAUGCAAUAAAAACUGGGUAUGGAAGGUAUAUGAUCAAAGUGUUACUUGCCUUGCUGAUGAUCCGCAAAACCUAGCGAUUCGAAGUAACAAGCGGCACACUCCGGGUACUCUAGCGCAAACAAACAAGCAAACAAUAAGUACUCAUCUAAUGCACAGGUAAAACUUGAAUGAAAGAUCCAACCAGAAAGUUCAAGUUAAGAACUCCGGUUUGCAAAAAGAAUCAACUCGAAAUAAGCAACGAAAGUCAAACUGCGAAAGAAAGAAACUUCGUUUACUAAUCUGGAUCUAGGUCAAAUUUUACAGUAGCAAAAACUUGUUUGAGUAGGUUAAACGUAAAGAGAAUUUUGAGACGAAACUCUAGGCGCUUGAAUCGCCUGAUUCCGAUAAACGAGCGAGAAGUUAAACAGAAACGAAAAUUCGAUCAGAAAUCGAAUAUGAGAAAAUAGCGGAAAAAUCCGACGAAAAAGAAAAACGGACGAACGGUUAAAGAACGGACGUUCGUUAACAGAGAAAAAACCGACGAACGCGUUCGUUAAAACGAACGGUUCGGUGAACGCUCGCAAAAUAAUAAAACUGAAAAAAACCGAUCUAGGUUUUUUUUAAACAAUGGUUUCUUUUUUAAAGAAAACCGGAAAAAAAACGAGGCGAGGUCUACCUCGUCGGGACAGAGAUCCGGCGGGGCUCCCGUGCUCCGGCGAGGGGCGGCGAACGGCGGCGGGGCUUGGGNNNNNNNNNNNNNNNNNNNNNNNNNNNNNNNNNNNNNNNNNNNNNNNNNNNNNNNNNNNNNNNNNNNNNNNNNNNNNNNNNNNNNNNNNNNNNNNNNNNNNNNNNNNNNNNNNNNNNNNNNNNNNNNNNNNNNNNNNNNNNNNNNNNNNNNNNNNNNNNNNNNNNNNNNNNNNNNNNNNNNNNNNNNNNNNNNNNNNNNNNNNNNNNNNNNNNNNNNNNNNNNNNNNNNNNNNNNNNNNNNNNNNNNNNNNNNNNNNNNNNNNNNNNNNNNNNNNNNNNNNNNNNNNNNNNNNNNNNNNNNNNNNNNNNNNNNNNNNNNNNNNNNNNNNNNNNNNNNNNNNNNNNNNNNNNNNNNNNNNNNNNNNNNNNNNNNNNNNNNNNNNGGGAGGGGGCUCCGGUGGCUUGGGGGAGGGGCAAGCCGAGCGGCGGGGUUCCGUGUCCGCCAUGGACACGGCGGCGGCGGCGCGUGCUGGGGAAGGAGAGGGGCGCGGGGCGGGCCGGCGCUCGGCUGGGCUUCGGCCCGGUCGGGCGUCGCGCGUUUUUUUGUAAAUACGUUCCGCGGAAAAAUUCGUAGAAAAAUAAAUAAAAGUCCAAAAAAAUAUAAAAUAAAUUUUCCCCGUCUAGUUAGAAAAUCUAGAAUAGGGUGAACAUUUUUUUAACACAAAAUAAAUAUUUUGAAAACAUGCAAUAUUUUAAUGCAAUAAAAAUUGCAAAUAAAAUCCCAAUAAAUUCCAGUAAAUGAUUUUAACAUUUUACCUCCAGUAUUUCAAUGGUUUUGGAGAAGUCAUAUUUUCUCCUCUCGUUUAUUUUUAAAAUGAAAUAUUUUUCCGGAGAGAAAAUAAUUAAAACCAAAAUCCUCGUCUUAUUAUUUGAUGAAAAUCAAAUAUGAAAAUUCGAGAAAAUCCCAACUCUCUCCGAGGGUCCUUGAGUUGCUUAGGAUUUAUCGAGGAUUUGUCAAAAUGCAAUAAAACAUGAUAUGCAAUGAUGAUCUAUGUAUAACAUACCAAAUUGAAAACUUGGGAUGUUACAAACCUACCCCCCUUAAGAUGAAUCUCGCCCUCGAGAUUCGGGUUGGCUAGAAAACAGGUGGGAGUGGUCCUUGCGUAGAUCUUCCUCUCGCUCCCAGGUGGCUUCAUCUUCCGUGUGGUGACUCCACUGGACUUUGCAAAACUUGAUAACCUUGCUACGGGUAACUCGGCUGGCAUACUCAAGAAUCUUAACUGGUUUCUCCUCAUAAGUCAAAUCACUUUCCAGCUGAAUCGCUUCCAGCGGUACAGUAUCUUUCAGUGGUAUCUCAGCCAUCUCUGCGUGGCACUUCUUCAACUGGGAAACGUGAAAUACAUCAUGAACUCCAGACAAUCCUUCGGGCAAUUCCAGCUUGUAGGCAACUUCUCCCAUACGUUCCACAACUCUGUAUGGUCCGAUAAAACGGGGCGCUAACUUUCCCUUAACUCCAAAGCGCUUCACUCCUCGAAGUGGUGAUACUUGAAGAUACACUCGGUCUCCGACUUCGUCCCAUAACAACGGUGUUCUACACCUCCUUCCGUACAAAGCUUCGAAAGGGGCCAUCUUCAAACUGGUUUGAUAACUGUUGUUAUAUGAAAACUCUGCAUAUGGAAAAUUGUCGUCCCAACUGGAUCCAUAAUCUAGUGCACAAGCUCUCAACAUGUCCUCCAAAAUCUGGUUGACUCUCUCGGUCUGUCCAUCUGUCUGCGGGUGAAAAGCUGUACUAAAUUCCAGCCUGGUUCCCAAUGUUUCAUGUAACUACUUCCAAAACUUCGAGGUAAAUUGGGUUCCUCUGUCUGAUACAAUGGUCCUCGGAACUCCAUGCAAACAUACGAUCCUGGUCAUGUAUAUCUUUGCCAACUUAGCACUGGUGUAAGUGGUCUUUACUGGAAUGAAAUGAGCCACUUUCGUCAAACGGUCGACUACAACCCAUAUUGAGUCAUAGCCUGAACGAGUCCUGGGUAAUCCCAUGAUAAAAUCCAUGCCUAUUUUAUCCCACUUCCAUUCGGGUAUCGGCAAUGGUUGUAGCAAUCCUGCUAGCUUCUGAUGCUCUGCCUUCACUCUCUGACACACAUCACAAACUGCUACGUACUCCGCAAUAUCCUUCUUCAUUCCGGUCCACCAGAAAGUAUUCUUCAGAUCCAAAUACAUCUUGGUAUUCCCUGGGUGAAUCGAGUACGGUGAAUCAUGGGCUUCUUGCAAAAUCAACUUUCUGAUCUCCGGAUCAUUUGGCACAUAUACGCGGUCCUCAAACCAUAAGGUAUCGUGCUCAUCCUCACGAAAUCCCUUGGCUUUUCCUUUGCUCAUCUUCUCCUUUAUCUCUUCAAUCUCCUUGUCUGUCUUCUGGGCUUCUCUGAUCCUUUCCAUCAAGGUAGACUGAAUCUCCAAUGUCGCUAAAUAGCCUCUUGGGACUAUCUCCAAACAUAGCUCGCGAAGGUCCUCGGCUAACUCCUGAGGUAACUCUCCUGUCAUGAGGGUGUUGACAUGACUCUUGCGGCUCAACGUGUCUGCUACUACGUUAGCCUUUCCAGGGUGAUAAUGCAAUCUCAUAUCAUAAUCCUUAAUGAGCUCCAACCAUCUCCUCUGUCUAAGGUUUAACUCCUUCUGCGUGAAAAUAUACUUCAAACUCUUGUGAUCCGUAUACACCUCACAAUGGUUUCCGAUGAGAAAAUGUCUCCAUGUCUUCAAUGCAUGCACCACGGCUGCUAAUUCCAAAUCAUGCGUAGCAUAAUUCUUCUCAUGGGGUUUAAGUUGUCGUGAAGCAUAUGACACAACUCUUCCUUCCUGCAUAAGCACUGCUCCAAGUCCUCGACGAGAAGGGUCGCAAUAAACUUCAUAGUCCUUGCGUUGAUCUGGCAGAAUCAACACUGGUGAUGUAACCAAUCGUUCCUUCAACUCUUGGAAACUAGCUUCACAUUCCUCAGUCCAAUUAAAUUUGGUGUCCUUCUUUAAUAGCUCAGUCAUGGGCUUAGCAAUCUUCGAGAAAUUCUCGAUGAACCUCCGGUAGUAUCCUGCAAGUCCAAGAAAACUCCGGAUUUCUCCAACUGUCGUGGGUGAUUCCCAACUUGUCACUGUGUCAACCUUGGCAGGGUCUACUGCUAUUCCUUCUCCAAAAAUAACAUGUCCAAGGAAUCCAACUUCCUUCAGCCAAAAUUCACAUUUGCUGAACUUGGCAUAUAACUGAUGUUCUCUGAGCUUCUCAAGUACCAAUCGCAAAUGCUCCUCAUGCUCUUCCUCAUUCUUGGAAAAGACUAAAAUAUCAUCAAUGAACACCACAACGAACUUAUCCAAAAACUCCAUAAACACUUUGUUCAUCAGGUUCAUGAAAUAGGCAGGUGCGUUAGUCAGACCAAAUGACAUAACGGUAUACUCAUACAAUCCAUAUCUGGUGGUAAAAGCCGUCUUAGGUAUAUCCUGCUCUCGAAUCUUUAACUGAUGGUAUCCUGAUCGUAGAUCGAUCUUGGAAAAUACUUUAGCUCCUUGUAGGCGGUCAAACAAAUCAUUGAUCAUCGGCAGUGGUACUUGUUUUUGAUGGUCACUUCAUUCAAUCCACGGUAAUCAACAACCAUCCUCAGCGAUCCAUCUUUCUUCUCCACUAGAAGUACUGGUGAUCCCCAAGGUGACGAACUUGGGCGAAUAUAGCCUUUAUCCAGUAACUCCUUGAUCUGCUUCUUAAUUUCCUCCAAAUCUUUUGCGGGCAUCCUGUACGGUCUCUUAGAUAUUGGCCCUGUGCCUGGCAAAAGUUCAAUCAGGAACUCGAUGUCUCUAUCCAGUGGCAUGCCUGGCAACUCUUCUGGAAAUACAUCCGGAUAAUCCUUCACCACUGGUACCUCCUCCUGUACAACUCCUGAUAAGGAAUUUACUUGAGUCCUCUUCGGCAUAUGCCGGGAUACAUACUUGAUCCUUUUCCCUUCUGGGGUGGUAAGCAAAAUCGUCUUGCUGGCACAAUCGAUGUUUCCUCCAUACAACGAUAGCCAAUCCAUUCCCAAAAUCACAUCCAAACCUUGCGACUCCAAAACUAUGAGGUCUGAUGGGAAAACAUGCCUACCAAUGGCCAAUGGUAUCUGAAAACAUCCUUGGGUUGCCAUAUACUCUGCUCCUGGCGAGGUUACUAACAUAGGGGUUCUGAGAACCUUGGUGGACAUCUUAAACUUAUUCACAAAUCCCCUUGAUAUGUAUGAAUGCGAUGCGCCAGUAUCGAAAAGAACGGUUGCAGUAAAUGACUUAACCAAAAACUUACCUAUUACUGCAUCAGGCUGAGCUUCAACCUCCUCCACGCUCACGUGGUUCACGUGUCCUUUGUUGAACGGGUUCGGCUUCUUCCCAGAGCUUCCAUUGCCAUUUCCAUUUUGGGCUUCAGGACAUUCAUUGGCAUAAUGUCCAUUCUUCUGGCACUUAAAGCAAGUGACUUGGCUCAGAUCCCUCUUGGCUGGGGUAGAUGGGUUGGUGCGGUUCUGUCCGUUGCUUCCUCCAUUCCCAUUACCAUUUUUAGAGCCAUUAUGGUUGUGCGAACUACCUCCUCCAUGUGUAUGCUGAAACUGUCCUCCCGGCUUUGGGGCAAAACGAGGCUUCUGUUGAGCUCUUGAGUUAUACUUCCCUUGUCCAUACUUCCUCUUACGGUUUUCAAUCUGUUUUUGCUUCCCUUCAAUCAUGAGAGCUCUAUCUACCAGCUCCUAGUAGUUGUUGAAGGUUGCUACCAUCAACUGCAUACUCAGCUCAUCAUUCAGUCCUUCCAAAAACUUCUCCUGCUUGGCUGCAUCUGUAGCAACGUCAUCUGGUGCAUAACGUGCUAACUUACUGAAAUCCUCCACAUACUGGCCUACGGUACGUCCUCCUUGGCGUAGGUUGCGAAACUCACGCUUCUUCAUAGCCAUAGCUCCUGCUGAAACAUGAGUUGUACGGAAAGCUUGCUGAAACUGGUCCCAUGUGACAGUGUCAAUAGGGUGCGUGGCCGUAUAAUUCUCCCACCAUGAUGCUGCGGGUCCAUCAAGCUGAUGUGCGGCAAAACGUACUCUUUCCGCAUCUGUGCAUCCUGCAGUGGUCAACUCCCUUCCAACUUUGCGGAGCCAAUCAUCUGCAACAAUCGGCUUGGUGCUACUGGAAAACACCGGCGGGUUUAGCCUUAAGAAACGGGCUAAGUGAUCAACAGGUGGUGGUGGCAGUGGGUUGUUGUUGUUGUUGCCUUGGUUCUGCACUAACACUUGCAUCAGGGCAUUCUGUUGCUGAAUCAACUGGGUGAUCUCCGGUGGGAAAACAAAUCCGGUGUCGCGUCUCGGAGGCAUCUGAUAGGUUUAGAAAAGAUGAGAGUUAAGAAUAGAAUGGGGUCUAGAGAGAAAACACUACCCAUAUGCUCAUGAGACAAAUUCAAUCAAUAUCACUCAAUCAAUCAAACAAGGCAAAACAAUCGAUCUAACUAGCGUUACAAAGUGCUUGAACUAUACUAUUAAAUGGGGGAAAACUACUACUGAUAUGGUGGUCUAAUAAAAAUUCUAAUCCGUUGAAGACUCCAUGAUGUCUGCUCCAGCUUCGUCAACCCAGUCAUCUUCACUUGGUUCCGAGUCGGUGUCGUCGAUGAUGAUGUAGUUAUCCGGACAAGUGCAUUCGUCGGCUUCUGCUUUUGGCACUGGAUUUCCCAUGAAUACUCCAAUCUUCUUCUCCAGGUCGUCAUUCUUCCCUACUAGUGCGAUGAUUUUCUCCAUAUAAUCCUCGCGUGUAGCCUUGAGUUCUUCUUGGAGCUCCUUGAUCUUGGUUAAUGCCUUCUUCAGUUCUUCCUUGUCCGUACACAUCUGGUUCUCCUGGCGACGAAUAUGUUGGUUUUGCUCCUGGAUGAAAGCUGCAAUUGAUCCAUCCUUCUUGGUUCUGAUCAUCUCCCAUUGCGCGUCUCGGCAUCCACAAAUUUGGUAUAUUGUAUCCUUAAGCUCCUGGUGGUAGACUUCUCCAAUGCGUCCCAUGGCGAUGUGUGCGGCCAUGCUCUUCCCUAAACUCCAAGUUGGUGCUUCAAAAACCAAUCUUAUGGGUUCAGUAAUUGGCACAAACGUCCUUCCUGGAAUGUGAACUUGAAUCUUCCAGCUCUCCUCUUCGGGUAAUGUGGCGUUGUAGGUUCCGGUGAUGCUUGGUAUUCCUAUGUUCAAAUACUUAGUGACUUCCUUCAAGUGUCGACCAAACGGCGUGUCUUCAUCUGGUUGCAUGAACUUGCUCCUUGCAUCCGCCAUUCCUAAAAGAGUAGAAAGUGGAGAGGGGUCAGAAAUGAGAAGAGAGAAGCUUUCUAGGGCUUUAAGCUUAGUGGUCGUGUCCUACAGUCAACCUGGCUCUGAUACCAACUUUGUAGCGACCAGACCUCAAAUGGUCUGUGCUGCUGUGCACCAGUGUCAUCCCUGGAUCAGUAAUGCUGACACGCACAGUACAAAUGGAGGAUUUAUAACAGAGUAGCAAUCACACACUUAUUACAUCGAAAAUCUCCAAAGAGAAUAAGUAUGAUAAACAUGGCUUAAGGCCAUCUAAAAACGAUAACAGCGGAAGACUUGGAAGAUAAGUGAGUCCAUCAACUCCAGCAGCAUCACUGAGUAUAAGACCACGACCUAAGGCACCUUACUCGUCGUCUGAAAAGUCUGCAAAAUGAAACGUUGCAGCCCGAAACGGGUCAGCACAUAGAAUAUGCUGGCAAAGUAACACAUAGAGGAUAAUAAGCAAUAAUAAUGCUAUACUACAUGCAUAUAUGGCUGGUGGAAAGCUCUAUGGUUACAAUUUUGCGAAAAGCCAAUUUUACCCUACUUCAAAGGAAUAAAUUUUAUUUAACUAUCAUGGUGGUUGUGAAACAUUGAGAUGGUUGACAUCAUCUCAAUCCCAAUUAAGAAAUCAUCAUUAACCCAACAAAAUUAAUUAAAAGUAACAUGGUGAUGAGAUUCACAUGAUAAUCCAAGUACUAGAUACUCAAGUUGUCCAUAACCGGGGACACGGCUAACCAUGAUUAGUUUGUACACUCUGCAGAGGCUUGCGCACUUUUCCCCAUAAGACUCGAUCUCCUCCGUUGGAUUACUCGCACUACAUGGUGUUUGAGUAACGGAUGACCGAGACACAGUCUUUCAGAAGUGUUUGCACCUUACGUAUGGGUAGACCGUUACACCUACUUUCCCCUACAUCUGCUAGUCUACCACUGUAAGAGUUCACACAACUUAGUCAACUAUGCUAGAGCCCAUAAUAGCUUGCGGCUGCACACGGAAGUUUCUAGCAUGAAUAAUCUCAUGAUCCCUUUGAACCUGGGUGGCGGUUCAAAAGAAAAACAGGCAAUCCUGGAAUACCCAGGUACCUCAAUCCACCCAGAUGUGAGUUUUAGUUGCCACCUUAAGUAAACCAUUAAUUAACAAUCUCACAUCUGUCAUGGAAACCUCUCAAACCCAAUCCACGUCUACGAGCAUAGCAUGGCAAUAUAAUAGCAACGUAGAAGUAACUCCCAAGGGUUUGAUAAUAAAACAGGUAAUAGGUACUACCUCAACUACUUCCCAGUUCCCACAAUUUAAUUAGAUCCUAAUCAUGCAAGUGUUUGAGGAAAACAGAUCUAAUGCAAUAAAAACUGGGUAUGGAAGGUAUAUGAUCAAAGUGUUACUUGCCUUGCUGAUGAUCCGCAAAACCUAGCGAUUCGAAGUAACAAGCGGCACACUCCGGGUACUCUAGCGCAAACAAACAAGCAAACAAUAAGUACUCAUCUAAUGCACAGGUAAAACUUGAAUGAAAGAUCCAACCAGAAAGUUCAAGUUAAGAACUCCGGUUUGCAAAAAGAAUCAACUCGAAAUAAGCAACGAAAGUCAAACUGCGAAAGAAAGAAACUUCGUUUACUAAUCUGGAUCUAGGUCAAAUUUUACAGUAGCAAAAACUUGUUUGAGUAGGUUAAACGGAAAGAGAAUUUCGAGACGAAACUCUAGGCGCUUGAAUCGCCUGAUUCCGAUAAACGAGCGAGAAGUUAAACAGAAACGAAAAUUCGAUCAGAAAUCGAAUAUGAGAAAAUAGCGGAAAAAUCCGACGAAAAAGAAAAACGGACGAACGGUUAAAGAACGGACGUUCGUUAACAGAGAAAAAACCGACGAACGCGUUCGUUAAAACGAACGGUUCGGUGAACGCUCGCAAAAUAAUAAAACUGAAAAAAACCGAUCUAGGUUUUUUUUUAAAAAUGGUUUUUUUAAAAGAAAACCGGAAAAAAAACGAGGCGAGGUCUACCUCGUCGGGACAGAGAUCCGGCGGGGCUCCCGUGCUCCGGCGAGGGGUGGCGAACGGCGGCGGGNNNNNNNNNNNNNNNNNNNNNNNNNNNNNNNNNNNNNNNNNNNNNNNNNNNNNNNNNNNNNNNNNNNNNNNNNNNNNNNNNNNNNNNNNNNNNNNNNNNNNNNNNNNNNNNNNNNNNNNNNNNNNNNNNNNNNNNNNNNNNNNNNNNNNNNNNNNNNNNNNNNNNNNNNNNNNNNNNNNNNNNNNNNNNNNNNNNNNNNNNNNNNNNNNNNNNNNNNNNNNNNNNNNNNNNNNNNNNNNNNNNNNNNNNNNNNNNNNNNNNNNNNNNNNNNNNNNNNNNNNNNNNNNNNNNNNNNNNNNNNNNNNNNNNNNNNNNNNNNNNNNNNNNNNNNNNNNNNNNNNNNNNNNNNNNNNNNNNNNNGCGGGCUUCCGGCGGCGGCGGCGGACGAGGUGAGGGAGAGAGAGAGGAGAGGGGGUGGGGGUAUAUAAAGGGGGGGAGGGGGCUCCGGUGGCUUGGGGGAGGGGCAAGCCGAGCGGCGGGGUUCCGUGUCCGCCAUGGACACGGCGGCGGCGGCGCGUGCUGGGGAAGGAGAGGGGCGCGGGGCGGGCCGGCGCUCGGCUGGGCUUCGGCCCGGCCGGGCGUCGCGCGUUUUUUUUUAAAUACGUUCCGCGGAAAAAUUCGUAGAAAAAUAAAUAAAAGUCCAAAAAAAUAUAAAAUAAAUUUUCCCCGUCUAGUUAGAAAAUCUAGAAUAGGGUGAACAUUUUUUUAACACAAAAUAAAUAUUUUGAAAACAUGCAAUAUUUUAAUGCAAUAAAAAUUGCAAAUAAAAUCCCAAUAAAUUCCAGUAAAUGAUUUUAACAUUUUACCUCCAGUAUUUCAAUGGUUUUGGAGAAGUCAUAUUUUCUCCUCUCGUUUAUUUUUAAAAUGAAAUAUUUUUCCGGAGAGAAAAUAAUUAAAACCAAAAUCCUCGUCUUAUUAUUUGAUGAAAAUCAAAUAUGAAAAUUCGAGAAAAUCCCCAACUCUCUCCGAGGGUCCUUGAGUUGCUUAGGAUUUAUCGAGGAUUUGUCAAAAUGCAAUAAAACAUGAUAUGCAAUGAUGAUCUAUGUAUAACAUACCAAAUUGAAAAUUUGGGAUGUUCCAAUUUCAUAUCUGAACCUAUUAUGUUUUCAUGAAUAUAUGUGAGUUCUUGAUCCUAUCUUGCAAGUCUAUAGUCACCUACUAUGUGUUAUGAUCCGGCAACCCCGGAGUGACAAUAAUCGGGACCACUCGCGGUGAUGACCGUAGUUUGAGGAGUUCAUGUAUUCACUAUGUGUUAAUGCUUUGGUCCGGUACUCUAUUAAAAGGAGGCCUUAAUAUCCCUUAGUUUCCAUUAGGAGCCCGCUGCCACGGGAGGGUAGGACAAAAGAUGUCAUGCAAGUUCUUUUCCAUAAGCACGUAUGACUAUAUUCGGAAUACAUGCCUACAUUACAUUGAUGAAUUGGAGCUAGUUCUGUGUCACCCUAUGUUAUGACUGUUACAUGAUGAACCUCAUCCGGCAUAAUUCUCCAUCACCGAUCCAAUGCCUACAAGCUUUUCAUAUAUUGUUCUUUGCUUAUUUACUUUUCCGUUGCUACUGUUGCAAUCACUACAAAACCCAAAAAUAUUACUUUUGCUACUGUUACCGUUACUUCCAUAUUACUUUGCUACUAAAUACUUUGCUGCAGAUACUAAGUUAUCCAGGUGUGGUUGAAUUGACAACUCAACUGCUAAUACUUGAGAAUAUUCUUUGGCUCCCCUUGUGUCGAAUCAAUAAAUUUGGGUUGAAUACUCUACCCUCGAAAACUGUUGCGAUCCCCUAUACUUGUGGUUUAUCAAACCCACUACCGGGCACCUCUUCCCAUUACAAGAUAAAUAGAUCAAGUUGGCCAAACAAAACCCAAAUAUCGGAGAAGAAAUGCGAGGCUAUAAGAGAUCAUGCAUAUAAGAGAUCAAAUAAACUCAAAUAACUUUCAUGGAUAUAAAAAGAUAUAACUGAUCAUGAUCUCAAAAUUCAUCGGAUCCCAACAAACACACCGCAAAAAGAGUUACAUCAUAUGGAUCUCCAAGAGACCAUUGUAUUGAGAAUUCAGCGAGAGAGAGAAAGCCAUCUAGCUACUAACUACGGACCCGAAGGUCUACAAAGAACUACUCACGCAUCAUCGGAGAGGCACCAAUGGAAGUGGUGAAUCCCUCCUUGAUGGUGUCUAGAUUGGAUCUGGUGGUUCUGGACUCUGGCGGCGGCUGGAUGAAUAUUUCGUCGACUCCCCUAGGGUUUUUGGAAUAUUGGGGUAUUUAUAGAGCAAAGAGGCGGUCCGGGGGGCACCCGAGGUGGGCACAACCCACCAGGGCGCGCCCGGUCCUCCUGGCGUGCCCUAGUGGGUUGUCCCCUCCUCGGGACUCCCCCCAGGUGCAACCAGGGCCCAACUUCUUCCUUUUGGUCCAUAAAAAAUCAUCGUAAAGUUUCGUGGCAUUUGGACUCCGUCUGAUAUUGAUUUCAUGCGAUGUAAAAAACAUGCAGAAAAUAGCAACUGGCACUUGGCACUAUGUCAAUAGGUUAGUACCAAAAAAUGAUAUAAAAUGACUAUAAAAUGAUUAUAAAACAUCCAAGAUUGAUAAUAAAACAGCAUGGAACAAUAAAAAAUUAUAGAUACAUUGGAGACGUAUCAGCAUCCCCAAGCUUAACUCCUGCUCGUCCUCGAGUAGGUAAGUGAUAAAAACAGAAUUUUUGAUGUGGACUGCUGUUUAUCAUGUCAUAUCAUAUUCUUUUCUUUAUAGCAUGGACAUUUGUACUUUUAUGUGAUUCAAAGCAAUAGUCUAGUUUUGACACAAUAAUUUAGAUACUCAAGCAUAUCAACAAGCAACCAUGUCUUUCAAAAUAUCAAUGCUAAAACAAAUUAUCCCUAGCCCAUCAUGCUCAAACAUUGAUCCAUUCAUGAAACGCACUCGAAUAUUAGCUACCCCCAAUACUUAAGUACGAUCAUAUUGCCUCCUAGUUGGUGCUUUUAUAAGAGAAGAUGGAGACUCAAUUUCAAUUUUUUUUGCAUAAAGUAAAAGAAAGGCCCUUCGUAGAGGGAAGUAGGGAUUUGUAGAGGUGCCAAUGCUCAAAGCAAAAAAUUAGAGAUAAAAACAUUUUGAGAGGUAGAUCCAUCCCACCAACUAAAACGACUCAGAGUUCCGAACACUUUCCAUGCUAGAUAUGCCAUAGGUAGUUCGCAAACAGAAAAUAAAUUUUAUUCCUUUUUCAACCAUACUUUCACUUUCCAUGGCUAGCCGUAUCCACGGUUUCCCUCCAUACCAACACUUUCCAAGGAAUUUAUUAUUUGACAAUAUAAAGUAAAUUCAUUUUUGCAUUUUGGGACUGGGCAUCCCUAAGACCUUUGCCUUACUCUCGUGCAAUGACAAGUGAAUAAACACUCAUCAUGAGAAUAACACAUCCAGCAUGGAAAAUAUUUGCCACCCAUUACCGUUCCACGAGCGAAACAAACACACAAAAGAGAAGUUUAUUUUGAAAAUUAUAGAUGGCACAUGCAAAUUUUCUUAGAAUGGCAAAAGAAUACCGCAUAUAGGUAGAUAUAGUGGACUCAUGUGGCAAAACUGGUUUAAAGGAUUUUGGAUGCACAAGUAGAGAUCAUACUUGGUGCAAAAUGAAGGCUAGCAAAAAGAUUGAGUAGCUACCAACCAAGAAACGAAUAAUCUCAUAAGCAAGCAUUAAGCAUAAUUAACACCGAAUAAUGCACCAUAAGUAGGAUAUAAUUUUCAUUGCAUGAUUAUUGACUUUCGUGCAUGCAUAGGGAAUCACAAACCUUAACACCAAUAUUCUUACUAGAGCACAAUCACUCAUCAACAUAACUCACAUAUCACAUCAUCAUAUCUCAAAACUAUUACUAAGAAUCAAGUUUAUUUUGUCCAAUGAUCUUCAUGACAUAUAUAUAUUUUUUCUUUGUUUAUCCUUCUUGGAUAUCUAUCACUUUGGGACUAAUUUUCAUGUGUUGCUUUUCAUGAGCUCAAACAAAUAUAAGUGAAGAUCAUGAGCAUAACAAAUUUUCUUUCUCUCAAAAUAAUUUAAGUGAAGCAAGAGAGAAUUUCUUCAAAAUUUUACUAACUCUCAAAUAAAUCUAAGUGAAGCAAGAGAGCAUUUUUUCAAAAAUACUAAGCACACCAUGCUAAAAAAGAUAUAAGUGAAGCACUAGAGCAAGUCCUAGCUCAUAAAAGAUUUAAGUGAAGCAUAGAGAGCAAUUCGAACAAGUCAUGACAUAAUUUUGGCUCUCUCAAAUAGGUGUGUCCAGCAAGGAUUGAUGACUUAACACCCAAAAUAAAACAAGCAAAGACACAUAUCAUACAAGACACUCCAAGCAAAACACAUAUCAUGUGACCAAUAAAAAUAUAGCCUCGAGUAAAAUACCUAUGGUCGUUACAAGAAAGAGGGGAUGCCACUCGGAGGCAUCCCCAAGCUUAGUUGGUUGCUCAUUAUUUGAUAAUAGCUUGGGAUGCUGGGUCAUCCCCAAGCUUAGGCUCUUCUAUCCUUCUUUCAUCCAUCAUAAGAUAACCCAAAACUUGGAAACUUCAAUCACACAAAACUCAACAAAACCUUUGUGAGAUCCAUUAGUAAAAGAAAGCAAACCACUACUAUAAGUGCUGUAGCAAACCAACUCAUAUUUUGUUUUUGUAUUAUAUAUACUGUAUUCCAACUUUUCUAUGGCAAAAACUCAUCAAAGAAAACCAUAGAGCCAUCAAAAUAAGCACACAACACAAAGAAAACAGAAUCUGUCAAAACAGAACAGUCUGUAGUAAUCUGGAACUUUCGAAUACUUAUGGAACUCCAAAACUUCUACCAAAUUAGGAAGACCAGGGUAAUUUGCAUAUUAAUCUUAUGCAAAAGGAAUCAGGGAAAAAUCUCUUUUCUGCGAUUUAUGAAAAUUAUUUUCGUGAGCGCAAAGUUUCUGUCUUUUUCAGCAAGAUUAAACAACUAUCACACAAGAAGAUCCUAAAGGCUUUACUUGGCACAAACACUACUUAAAACACAAAAAACACAAUCAUAACAGUAGCAUAAUUGUGUUAACACAAAAGAACAGAAAGCAAAAAGCAAAAAUAAAUUUUAUUCGUUGGGUUGCCUCCCAACAAGCGCUAUAGUUUUACGACCUUAGCUAGGCAUAAAGCAAGGAUCUAAGUUUUGUCAUCUUUGGUGCUAGAUCCAUAAGAUGCCCUUCAUACGUCUCCAUCCUAUCUACUUUUCCAAACACUUUUGCCCUUGUUUUGGACUCUAACUUGCAUGAUUUGAAUGGAACUAACCCGGACUGACGCUGUUUUCAGCAGAAUUGCCAUGGUGUUAUUUUUGUGCAGGAAUAAAAGUUCUCGGAAUGACCUGAAACUUCACGGAGAAUAUUUUUGGAAUAUAUAAAAAAUACUGGCGAAAGAAUCAAUACUAGGGGGCCCACACCCUAUCCACUAGGGUGGAGGGCGCGCCCCCUGCCUCGUGGGCUCACUGGAGCUCCACCGACCUCAACUCCAACUCCAUAUAUUCACGUUCAGGGAGAAAAAAAUCAGGGAGAAGGAUUCAUCGCGUUUCACGAUACAGAGCCGCCGCCAAGCCCUAAUCUCUCUCGGGAGGGCUGAUCUGGAGUCCGUUCGGGGCUCCGGAGAGGGGAAUCCGUCGCCGUCGUCAUCAUCAACCAUCCUCCAUCACCAAUUUCAUGAUGCUCACCGCCAUGCGUGAGUAAUUCCAUCGUAGGCUUGCUAGACGGUGAUGGGUUGGAUGAGAUUUAUCAUGUAAUCGAGUUAGUUUUGUUAGGGUUUGAUCCCUAGUAUCCAUUAUGUUCUAAGAUUGAUGUUGCUAUGACUCUGCUAUGCUUAAUGCUUGUCACUAGGGCCCGAGUGCCAUGAUUUCAGAUCUGAACCUAUUAUGUUUUCAUGAAUAUAUGUGAGUUCUUGAUCCUAUCUUGGAAGUCAAUAGUCACCUACUAUGUGUUAUGAUCCGGCAACCCCGAAGUGACAAUAAUCGGGACCACUCUCGGUGAUGACCGUAGUUCGAGGAGUUCAUGUAUUCACUAAGUGUUAAUGCUUUGGUUUGGUACUCUAUUAAAAGGAGGCCUUAAUAUCCCUUAGUUUACAAUAGGACCCGCUGCCACGGGAGGGUAGGACAAAAGAUGUCAUGCAAGUUCUUUUCCAUAAGCACGUAUGGCUAUAUUCGGAAGACAUGCCUACAUUACAUUGAUGAACUGGAGCUAGUUCUGUGUCACCCUAUGUUAUAACUGUUGCAUGAGGAAUCGCAUCCGACAUCAUUAUCCAUCACUGAUCCAAUGCCUACGAGCUUUCACAUAUUGAUUUUUGCUUAGUUACUUUUCCGUUGCCACUGUUACAAUUACUACAAAACUGCUACUGUUACUUUUGCCACUAUUACCGUUACUUCCAUACUACUUUGCUACUAAAUACUUUGCUGCAGAUAUUAAGUUUUCCAGGUGUGGUUGAAUUGACAACUCAACUGCUAAUACUUGAGAAUAUUCUUUGGCUCCCCUUGUGUCGAAUCAACAAAUUUGGGUUGAAUACUCUACCCUUGAAAACUGUUGCGAUCUCCUAUACUUGUGGGUUAUCAGCCCUCAUGAUUGAUUCAUAUGGUGGCUUAAUUCUUGUUCUAGGGAAGUGUUCCAUACCCUUCCUCAAAGGAAUUUGGAACUUAAUAUUGCCUUCUUUCAUAUCAAUCACGACACCGAUAGUGCAUAAAACGGUCUACCAAGAAUAAUUGGACAAGACGGAUUGCUAUCAAUAUCAAGAACAAUAAAAUCUAUGGGCACAUAAUUUCUAUUUGCAAGAAUGAGAACACCAUUAAUUCUUCCCAUAGGCUUUUUAAUAGUAGAAUCCGCCAAGUGCAAAUUCAAAGAACAUUCUUCAAGAUUAGUAAGACCAAGCACAUCACAUAAAUAUUUCAGAGUUGUAGAAACACUAGCACCCAAGUCACACAAAGCAAAACACUCAUAAUUUUUAAUCUUGACUUUGAUAGUAGGUUCCCAUUCAUCAUGCAAUUUUCUAGGAAUUGAUACUUCUAGUUCAAAUUUUUCUUCUAAAGCUUUCAUCAUAGCAUCAACAAUAUGUUUAGUAAAAGCUUUAUUUUGUUCAUAAGCAUGGGGUGAAUUUAGCAUGGAUUGAAACAAAGAAAUACAAUCAAGUAAAGAGCAACUAUCAUAAUUAAAGUCUUUGUAAUUCAAAAGAGUGGGCACGUCACUAGCUAAAGUUUUGACCUCUUCAAACCCACUUUUAUUGAUUUUCUCAACAAGAUUUUCACCCUCCGAAAUAUUGGGACGCUUUCUACCUAAAGUUGACUCUUCUACAGUCCCUUUUUCAUCAAUCUUAUCUUUACUAAACAAGGAAUCAAUAGAAGAAAUACCAAUCAUUUUAAGAUCUUCAUCACUUUGUGAAAGAAAUCACUAGAAAACGCUUUUUCUAAAAAUUAUCUUUUAGCUCUAAGCAUAGCAGUUCUUUUCUUACUUUCAUCCAUAGAAACAUAAAGAGCUUUAAUUGAUUUAUCCACUUUAGGCACAAAAAUUUUCAUCUUGAGAUUUUCCGCAUCAUGAGCAAUUCUAUCAACACUUCUAGACAAAUCGUCAAUCUUAUUUAACUUUUCUUCUAUGGAAGUGUUAAAAACUUUUUGUGUGUUGAUAAAUUAUCUAAUAUUAUUCUCAAGAUCUGAGGUGUUCCUAUUAUUAUUAUUAUAUUGAUUUCCAUAGGAAUUACCAUAAUUAUUAGAGGAAUUACUAGGAAAAGGCCUAGGAUUAAAAUUUCCUCUACAAGCAUUGUUGUUGAAAUUAUUUCGAGAGAUAAAAUUCACAUCAAUGGCAUCACUAUUUUGCUCAAUCAAAGUAGAUAAAGGCAUAUGUUAAAAUCAAUAGGAGCACUUUUACUAGCAACCAAUUUCAUAAGAGCAUCAACUUUAUCACUCAAAGAAGAAAUUUCUUCAACCGAAUUAACUUUUUUACUAGUAGGAUCUCUUUCGGUAUGCCAUUGUGAAUAAUUUGCCAUAAUAUUAUCAAGCAAUUUGGUGGCUUCACCCAAAGUAAUUUCCAUAAAAGUACCACCCGGGGCGGAAUCUAAAAGAUUACGAGAAACAAAAUUCAACCCCGCAUAAAAAAUUUGUAUGAUCAUCCAAAGAUUUAACUCAUGAGUUGGGCAAUUCCUUAGCAUCAUUUUCAUCCUUUCCCAAGAUUGUGCAACAUGCUCAUGUUCAAGUUGCUUCAAAUUCAUGAUCUGGGUUCUAAGGGAAAUAAUUUUUGCGGGAGGAAAAUACUUAGUGAUAAAAGCAUCUUUGCACUUAUUCCAAGAUUCGAUACUAUUGCGAGGCAAAGAACAGAACCAAACUUUUGCAGAAUCACGCAAAGAAAACGGAAAUAACUUCAUCUUGACCACAUCAUUGUCCACAUAUUUUUUCUUUUGCAUAUCGCAUAAUUCCACGAAGGUAUUAAGAUGGGAUGCGGCAUCCUCAUUAGGAGUACCGGAAAAUUGGUCUUUCAUAACAAGAUUCAACAAAGCAGUAUUAAUAUCACAUGUCUCCGCACUAGUGGCGGGAGGAGCAAGCGGAGUGCCAAUAAAAUCAUUGUUGUUGGUAUUUGAGAAAUCACAUAACUUGGUGUUCUCUUGAGUCAUGAUGACCACACAACAAGAUUGCACUCAAAAAACAGAUCCGGCAAGAAAACGGCGAACAGAAAAAGAGAGGCGACUAAAACGGCAAAUUUUGUGAAGUGGGGGAGAGGAAAACGAGAGGCAAAUCAUGAAUAAUAUAAAUUGCAAGGAGAUGAUAUUUUUGAUUAGGAACCUGGUUAAGUUGAAGAUCCUCCCCGGCAAUGGCGCCAGAAAUUCCUUGAUGUCGCUUGAAGCUACGUCGGUAUUUCCGCAAAGAGGAAGGGAUGAUGCAGCACAGUGGCGGUAGGUAUUUCCCUCAGAUAUGAAACCAAGGUUAUCGAACCAGUAGGAGAACCAAGCAACACAACAUAAACAGCCCCUGCACACAAAUAACAACCCCUUGCAACCCGACGUGUUAAAGGGGUUCUCAAUCCCUUUCGGGGUACGGCGCCUCAAGAUAGGCAAAGGACGUGAGGUAAAUUUGUAGUAGAUUGAUAGAUCGAGCGCCAAAUAAAAUAAAUAAGAAUAAAUUGCAGCAAGGUAUUUUUGUAUUUUUGGUUUAAUAGAUCUGAAAAUAAACGCAAGGAAAAAGUAGAUCACUAGGCAAAUAUAUGAGAAAGAAGACCCGGGGGUCGUAGGUUUCACUAGUGGCUUCUCUCAAGAAAAAUAGCAAACGGUGGGUCAACAAAUUACUGUGGGGCAAUUGAUAGAACUUCAAAUAAUUAUGACGAUAUCCAGGCAAUGAUCAUUACAUAGGCAUCACGUCCAAGAUUAGUACACCAACUGCUGCCUGCAUCUACUACUAUUACUCAACACAUCGACCGCUAUCCAACAUGCAUCUAAUGUAUCAAGUUCAUGGGAAAACCGAGUAAUGCAAUAAGAACGAUGACAUGAUGUAGACAAGAUCCGUUUAUCUAUUGUGUUAGAUAUAGAUCCCAUCUUUUUAUCCUUAGUAGCAACAAUACAUAUGUGUCGGUUCCCUUUCUGUCACUGGGAUCAAGCACCGUCAGAUCGAACCCACUACCGGGCAUCUCUUCCCAUUGCAAGAUAAAUAGAUCAAGUUGGCCAAACAAAACCCAAAUAUCGGAGAAGAAAUACGAGGCUAUAAGAGAUCAUGCAUAUAAGAGAUCAAAGAAACUCAAAUAACUUUCAUGGAUAUAAAAAGAUAUAACUGAUCAUAAACUCGAAGUUCAUCGGAUCCCAACAAACACACCGCAAAAAGAGUUACAUCAUAUGGAUCUCCAAGAGACCAUUGUAUUGAGAAUUCAGCGAGAGAGAGAGAAAGCCAUCUAGCUACUAACUACGGACCCGAAGGUCUACAAAGAACUACUCACGCAUCAUCGGAGAGGCACCAAUGGAAGUGGUGAACCCCUCCGUGAUGGUGUCUAGAUUGGAUCUGGUGGUUCUGGACUCUUGCGGCGGCUGGAUGAAUAUUUCGUCGACUCCCCUAGGGUUUCUGGAAUAUUGGGGUAUUUAUAGAGCAAAGAGGCGGUCCGGGGGGCACCCGAGGUGGGCACAACCUACCAGGGCGCGCCCGGGCCUCCUGGCGCGCCCUGGUGGGUUGUCCCCUCCUCGGGACUCCCCCCAGGUGCAACCAUGGCCCAACUUCUUCCUUUUGGUCCAUAAAAAAGCAUCAUAAAGUUUCGUGGCAUUUGGACUCCGUCUGAUAUCGAUUUCCUGCGAUGUAAAAAACAUGUAGAAAACAGCAACUGGCACUUGGCACUGUGUCAAUAGGUUAGUACCAAAAAAUGAUAUAAAAUGACUAUAAAAUGAUUAUAAAACAUCCAAGAUUGAUAAUAAAACAACAUGGAACAAUAAAAAAUUAUAGAUACGUUGGAGACGUAUCAGCCGCAAACAUUGAGAUACCUAGUUUUUAAAUUCUAGUAAAUCCAAAACUCGUCUGAAAUUCAUGAAACUUGGCAUGCUAUCAUGGAGCGGCAUCAACAUGUUGUGGUAAAAAAAAUUGUCCCAUUUGGGGCAGGUUUGGGUAUAAGCUUCUCACAAACCAAAGGUUGUCACAACAAGCAUGAUGGUUUCGGUAGGGAAUGUGCCACCUUUGGGGACGAAACGAUAUCCAUUGCCUCUUAUCAGGGGCGGAUCUACACCCCAGGCCCCCAGGGCCCAGGCCCGGGGCAUGGCCUUUUUAUUUAGCUAUUACUAUAGUAUGUUUUUCAUAUGGGCCCGGGGCCUAGCCCACGACACAGCCAAGGCCCAGACGCUCAGCUUGCUCAACCACGAGCCCCCAUGACAGGCACUUCCCUUCGCACGCACGCACGCGAGUUAGGAGCGCCGUGCCGCCUCCCCUCCUAUGCGCCGCACCGCUGCCUCCCCUCCCGUGCGCCGCCCUACCGUCGGGGCGCCGGGCCGCCGGCGAUUUUCUCACUCUGCCGCCCGUCUGCAUGACUGGACAUAGCCCAGGACCGCCGCUCUUCUCUUCCUAAAUCCCUUGCUCGGCUGCUCCCAGCUGCUCAGGGUUGUGGACUGCGAUCUGCCGCUGCUGCUCUAGCCGGGCGGCGGCGCCGCUCUACUCUGGCCACUUCCUAAAUCCGGACUCCUUAUCUACACGCCGUCGCUCUACUCUAGCCACUGCCCAACUCCAGACUAAGAAAGUUUAACUGAACCCAGAACCAACUAUUCAGUCACCGUUUCUUCCUAAUUCUAUAUGUAUUGUAUUAUCGAUUUGAAACUGAAGCAUUUUUAUGUCAAUACAUUUCAUACCGUAGAAAUAGAAGAUGAAGAGAUAUUUUUCAUCGUUGUCGGCAAUGGAAGGGUCUACACCCGGGGAUUCAAUUCCAGAGAAUCAAGGAGUUGAGAGGACCGAAUCAACUCCACAAACUGAAACAACCACAGAAAUGGGACCACAACCUUUGGCUUCAAGCAACCCGCCUUCAAUCCCAACUCGAGAAAGUAUCAUUUUUGAUAUCCCUGCUUCUGCUCAUACUCAACUGAGUGAAGGUGAUAUUCAGCCUGAUCCUGGUCUUAGGAAACCCAUUGAAAGCUUAGAUCCGGACCUUAGAGAUGUUGCUAGAAGUAUGUAUAUAAAUAUGGGUCCAUGCCAACCGACUGAUCACAAAUAUAGAAAAACCAAAAAGAGGAAAUUCUUCUAAAGAAAGAAGCUUUCUAGCUAGUUGGUUCAAGAACCAUCUUGAUUGGUUGGAAUAUAGUGAUAAUAAAGAUGCAACCUUUUGUUUUUAUUUCUUUCUUUUUAAGCAACCUAGAGCGGAAAAUUUUGGUAUUGAGGCAUUCACAAAGGUUGGAUUUAGAAAUUGGAAGGAUGCAAUUAGUGCUUUUAAUACACAUGUUGGUAAACAUGAUAGUGCUCACAAUAAAGCUAGACAACAUUAUGAGGCUUUCAAAAAUCAAAGGCAAUGUGUUGCACAUGUGAUGGAUCGUGGUACCAAAAAGAGUGAAGAGGAAUAUAAAGCUCGUCUUAUCAUUAUUUUGGGUGUUAUCCAAUUUAUUCUAUUACAAGCUCUACCUUUCCGUGGUCAUGAUGAGAGUUUGAGCUCUAAGAAUAGGGGCAACUUUUUGGAGUUGAUGAGUUGGUACAGGAACAAGGAUCCAAAUGCUAAGACUUUGCUUGAUGGUGCGGGCGGGAACCAUUUAAUGACUUCACAUGAGAUACAGUUCCAAUUGUGCCAGGCUUGUGCUGAAGAGACCACCAAAGCCAUUAUUGCUGAUAUUGGAGACAAAAGGUUUUAUUUACUAGUUGAUGAGUCCAGAGAUGCAUCUAUAAAGGAGCAAAUGGCUAUGGUUUUAAGGUUAGUAACUUCAUAUCCUUUAUGUUAAUUGUAUUUUUGUUCUUUAGUAAUAGUAAUAACUAAUGGUUGGUUACAUGUGCUUCUUGGUCUCAUGUAGGUAUGUCAACGAUCAUGGGUAUACAAUUGAGAGAUUUAUUGGGAUUAAGCAUGUUGGUGACACAAGAGCAGCUUCUCUAAAGGCAGUCGUGGAUGGUAUGUUUCGUAAACAUGGCUUAUCUAUGUCUAAAUUGAGAGGGCAAGGGUAUGACGGAGCUUCUAACAUGAGAGGGCAAUUUCAUGGGUUGCAACAGUUGAUACUAGAUGAAAAUCCUUAUGCAUUCUAUAUUCAUUACUUUGCCCAUCAAUUACAAUUAGUGGUUGUUGUUGUUGCUAAGUGUUGUUCCUUUGUAUUGGAUUUUUUUAACCACACAACUUUGAUUGUCAACACUGUCAAUGCUUCUUGUAAGAGACAUGAUGAACUAGCCCAACAACAUCAUGACACUAUUGUGAGCCAAUUGGAGUCUGGAGAAAUUUUUCAGGAAGAGGGAAAAACCAAGCAACCAACCUUGUAAGACCCGGAGAUACAUGGUGGGGCACACAUCAUAAAACUUUAUGUCGAUUUAUUAUGAUGUGGACAUCUAUUUUGCAAGUAUUAGAGAACAUUCAUGAUGAUGCAGAAAAUUUAACCCAAAGAACCACGACAGGUGGCUUGAUUUCUCAGAUGGAAAGUUUUGAGUUUGUUUUCAUAUUGCAUCUUAUGAUUAAACUAUUGGGUAAGACUAAUGAGUUGUCACAAUGCUUGCAAAAGAAAGAUCAGAACAUUGUUCUUGCAGUGAGUUUGAUUGGGGUCACCUUGAAGAAACUUCAAGAUAUAAGAGAAAAGGUUGGGAUGAGUUCUUGAAAGAGACAAAUGACUUUUGUGUUAAACACAACAUUGUAUUGCCUAACAGGAUGAUACAAUACCAGCUCAAGGUCGUUCAAGGGGGCGUGGUGGUCAAAUGGUAGCUUACUAUCACCGCUUCAGAUAUGAAAUAUUCAAUGUUGUGCAUGACCAAAUUAUUGUUGAGUUGAAUAAUCGUUUUGCCGAAAGAUCCACUCAAUUGUUGAGAUGCAUUGCUUGUCUUGAUCCAAGGAACUCAUUUGCUAAUUUUGAUGAGGAUAAACUUGUUGAACUUGCUGAGUUGUAUGCUGAUGACUUCUCCAUAUAUGAGAUCUCCUUUGUCCUUCGAAACCAACUUGAAACAUUCAUUUCUAUUGUGAGAGCUAAUCCGGAUUUUGAAUGUUGUAAUGACCUUGGUAAUCUUGCUGUGAAGAUGGUUCAAACCGGUAGACACACUAUUUUUCCUUUGGUAUAUCGACUCAUAGAGUUGGCAUUGAUCUUGCCGGUUGCAACCGCAUCAGUGGAAAGAGCUUUCUCGGCUAUGAGUAUUAUCAAGACUGAGUUGAGGAAUGAGAUGGGUGAUGAUUGGCUCAAUUAUAACAUGAUGUGCUAUAUUGAGCGAGAUGUAUUUGCAAGUAUUCCCGAUGAUGAUAUUCUAUAUCGCUUUCAAGCCUACAGGGAUCGCAGAGGGCUUUUACCUCCCCGUAGAGGUAAGGUUUUAGAUUUUAAUUAAUCAUCAUUAUUUCAUUAUGUUUAUGUCUUUUCUUAUGAAAUUACACGUUUGAUGUCUUGAAGGUGUUGCUUCUUCUUCUAUCGUUGAUCAUGUUAUGGGAGGCACAAAUGAAAUAAACAAUUGAUUUGGUACUCUUUUGCGUUCCCGUAUUAUUUCUAGUUUUAUCAUGGUUUAUCACUUCUGUUGGAUUGGGUGGCCUAGAUUAAAUUCAAGAAUUAUUGAACAAUUAACAUUUUAUUUUGUUUGUUAUUGCAUAUGUUUUUUUAAUGUCAUGGUGUGUUGCUGUGUUUUGGGGUAGUUAUAAGUGCCAAAGUUUUUCCUUGUUGCCGAAAAAAAUAUUUGGGCUCGGGCUUUGCUUCAAUCCUGGCUCCGCCACUGCCUCUUAUUGCUUUCAAAAAUUUUCUAGUGUCAACAUAGAACACCAGGGCACCGUUAAUUGCCGGCAAAACAUUGAGAUGCCUGGUUUAUAAAUUCUAGUAAAUCCAAAACUCGUCUGAAAUUCAUGAAACUUGACAUGCUAUCAUGGAGCGGCAUCAACAUGUCGUGGUAAAAAUUUGUCCCAGUUGGGUCAGGUUUGGGUACAAGCUUCUCACAACAAGCGUGAUGGUUUCGGUAGGGAAUGUGCCACCUUUGGGGAUGAAACGAUAUAGGUUGCCUCUUAUUGCUUUCAAAAAAAUUCUAGUGUCAACAGAGAACAACAGGAGUGUUGUGUUAAAUUUUGGAAUUUUUCAGGGUUUGUUUGGACAUUUUUAUACAUUAACUGAGUUUUCUAGGCAUUUUAUGUGCAUAAUUCAGAUUUGAAAUACAUGCACAUGCCCCAGUGCAUAUAAAUUGGUUGAAAAAUCAAAUAUGUGUCCUUGGGUGCAUGCUUAGGUCCCAUGCAAGAAAUGAGAAUGAAUAUCAAACACUAAGGCACUGUUGAUUGCCGGCAAAACGUUGAGAUACUUUGUUUUAAAUUCUAGUAAAUCCAAAAUUCGUCUGAAAUUCAUGAAACUUGGCAUGCUAUCAUGGAAUGGCACCCGACAUGUUGUGGUAUUUUUCGUGUCCAUUUUGAGAGAAGGCGCACUCAAAUAACAGCCAACAAAGGCAUUUUGAAACAAAUAACUGCCACUGUAAGAUCUCAAACGUUUUGUCUAAUUUAAAUUGCGUGCGUUCUGUUAACCAUUCACGUGAAGCCACGCCUCACUCUUUUAAUGGCUAGGAGGUGCCGUGCGGACAGGUGCUUGAGUGCUUGACUAAACGGGAGGCGUGCGAGCUGUACUCCAAUGCGGAGGCUCACCGGGAAGCGUGCAAGCUGUACGCCGCGCAUGCUCACCGGGAAGCGAGCCCUUUGACUUCCAUGGCCGCCCGCCUUGCUCGCAUCCUCUCCAUUAAUGGCGCCCAAGCCGCAGUUUAAUACGGUUUUUAAAUAUAAAACACUCAUCGCAACUGUUUUAGUUAGAACACCCGUAUGCAAACCGACAACUUACCCAGGAAGCCAAGGGAAAAUGUGCCGAUCAGGAUUUGUGCAGCUCUUGAUCGCAAACGUUUUAGUUAGAAUACGCGUAUGCAAACGACAACUUCCCCAGGAAGCCAAGAGAAAAUGUGCCGAGCAGGAUUUGUGCAGCUCUUGAUCGUAAACGUCUUAAAUAGAACACCCGUAUGCAAAGUGAGAGCUAUGGUCUUCCCCCUUAAGUUGAGGGAAGCUUGCGCAGGAACCUACGAGGUUGCGCGGGAACGGGCUCACCGACGAUUCAUUGGCGCCACUUCGAGCCACCGUUUGGCCAAAAGAAUGCCCCCGCGCACUGCGCAAGCUUGCACUGUAAGCCGUCUGCGGCAGCGGGAUGACAAGACAUGCGGGAGGAGGACGAAAGGACACGUACACAUACGGUUAAAAAAAUGUUUGCGAUUUAAUUACCUACUAUACCCCCGUCCUGGUUUAUAAGUAGGAUUUAACUAAUAAAAUACGAAUGCAUAUCGCCAAAGAUUAUAUCGUUGGAUUCGUAUUUGAACAUAGUUUCCAGUUAUACAAUUUUUGUAACAUGCAUUAACACUUUUUUGGUUAAAUUUAAGGUUAUAUACCAGCAAGCAUUUGCCCGCAACGCACACGGCUUAUUCCAUCACGAACAACUCGGAUGGAUCAACUGUAUGCCAUGUAUAGCACACGCAACUCUAAUCUGAUUCGUGCUUGAUGUCUCCGACAUCGCUCGCACGGUUCGUCUUAUUUGCCACGUAUCACUGUGUUGGCCUCUUCUCGCGUCCCUCGGCAAGCUCUGCUCGCCGUUAGGCACCGCAAUGCGAUGUGCUCGCCCUUAGGCGCCGCGGCGCGCUCUGCUCGUGUCCGUCGGCACGCUCUGCUCGCGCCUGUCGGCGCCCUCGGCUUGUGGACAACUUUUCCUUGCGUGUUCAACUGCUAUAUGCAUAUAUAUGGUUGCCCUCCGUUGAGGCGACCGCAUAGCGCUCUUCUCGUGUCCCUCCGUGCGCGCUAUGCCAGCGGUUGGGCGUGCGCACGAUGAUGUCGGGGGCCCCAUAUGCAUGCGGUUGCACCGCGCUGAUACGUCUCCGUCGUAUCUAUAAUUUUUGAUUGUUUCAUUCCAAUAUUAUUCAACUUUUACAUACUUUUGACAACUUUUUAUAUGAUUUAUUUGGACUAACUUAUUUAUCCAGUGCCCAGUGCCAGUUCUUGUAUGUUGCAUGUUUUUGUUUCGCAAAAAAUCCAUAUCAAACAAACUCCAAACGCGAUAAAAAUUUACGGAGAAUUAUUUUGGAAUAUAUGUCAUUUUUAGGAGGUGGAAUCAACGCAAACGGGGGCCCACAGUGCCCACAACUCACCAGGGCGCGCCAGGCACCCCCUGGCGCGCCCAGGUGUCUUGUUCCCUCCUUGAAGGUCGGUUUGGGCCCUUCUUCUGGCGCAAGAAAGAUAAUUUAUGGAAAAAAAUCAUGUAAAAAUUUCAGCGCAAUCGAAGUUACGGAUCUCCGGGAAUUUAAGAAACCGUGAAGGGCCAGACCUGGGGAACGCGAAACAGAAGAGAACAUAGAGGGAGAUCCAAUCUCGGAGGGGCUCCCGCCCCUCCGCCGCCAUGGAGGCCAUGGACCAGAGGGGGAACUCUACUCCCAUCUAGGGGGAGGCCAAGGAAGAAGAAGGAGGAGGGGGGCUCUCUCCCCCUCGCUUCCGGUGGCGCCGGAGUGCCGCCGGGGCAACGAUCGGGACGGCGUUCUACAUCAACAAUCUUACUACCGUCAACACCAACUCUCUUCCCCUCUAUGCAGUGGUGUAACACCUCUUCUCCCCGCUGUAAUCCCUACUUAAACAUGGUGCUCAACUCCAUAUAUUAUUUCCCAAUGAUCUAUGGUUAUCCUAUGAUGUCUGAGUAGAUCUGUUUUGUCCUAUGGGUUAAUUGUGAUCUUGGUUGGUAUGAUUGUAUAUUUUAUUUAUGGUGCUGUCCUAUGGUUCCCUCCAUUCUCACGCAAACGUGAGGGGCCCUCGUUGUAGGGUGUUGCAAUAUGUUCAUGGUUCGCUUAUGGUGGGUUGUGAAAGUGACAAAAGCUUAAACCCGAGUAAGUGGGGUAUGAUGUAUGGGAGUAAAGAGGACUUGAUACUUAAAGCUAUGGUUAGGUUUCACGACCUUAAUGAUCUUUAGUAGUUGCGGAUGCUUGCUAGAGUUCCAAUCAUAAGUGCAUAUGAUCCAAGUAGAGAAAGUAUGUUAGCUCAUGCCUCUCCCUCAUAUAAAUUACAAUAAUGAUUAUCGGUACUUGUUAUCGAUUGCCUAGGGACAAAUAACUUUCUUGUUGACACAUACCCUUUUACUAAACACCUAAAUUUUAUUAUCUUGCAAAGUACUUCUAGUUUUAUUCUUGCAAAGUAGUUCUAGCAUCACUCCUACAAACUAGUUUCAUACUCGUUUUCGGUAAAGCAGACGUCAAGUGUGCGUAGAGUUGUAUCGGUUAUCGAUAGAACUUGAGGGAAUAUUUGUUCUACCUUUAGCUCCUCGUUGGGUUCGACACUCUUAUUUAUCAAAAAAGGCUACAAACGAUCCCCUAUACUUGUGGGUUGUCAAGACCUUUUUUGGCGCCGUUGCCGGGGAGCAAUAGCGUGGGGUGAAUAUUCUCGUGUGUGCUUGUUUGCUUUAUCACUAAGUAGUUUUUUUUUCCUUCUAAGUUGUUCUCAAUCUUUAGUUAUGGAUAUGGAACACGAAACACCAAAAAAAUUAGUUGUACUUGCUACUCAUGGAGACGGGGAACCUCCUAAAACCCUCGAUGCUCGUUAUGUGAGAGAUAUUAUGCACUACUUUGAUAAUCUUGAGAAAACCCCAUUCAACUUGAUAAUGGGAGUAACGUUGGAUCAACGUGAAUACUUUAGGGAUUAUCGCUUGACACAAAAAGGGAAACUUUUAUGGGACCAAAUUUGUAUGUUGCGUUGGUAUGCUCGGGAUCUAUGCUUGAGACAUGAUUAUACUUGUUGCUCUAGAAUGAAUGCUCCACACCUUCCCUUUUCAUGCAAAUUUAAUAAUAAUGAAACCUUGGCUUCUUAUGCUAGAGGUAUAUAUGAUUACUAUGAUGUGGAAAGAAUAGAAGAAUUUGUUGCUUUUAAGGGUGCUUAUGAAAUUGAAUCUUUGUUUGAAAAGUAUGAAGCUUUUGAUGAUGAUGUUUAUAGACCUGAAAAUUUUGCCAUCCUUAAAUAUUGCUAUGAUAAUUACAAAUACAAUUCCGAUAUUGAUAAAUUUAUUGUGAGAGUGUCCGCUGUCCAAGAAGAGAAUAAUAUUUUGCAGGAGUCUAUGGAAGAAUAAAUUGAUGAAACUGUGAGCUCAUUAGAUGAAAAAGAUGAUGAGGAGAGCGAAGAACAAAAGGAGGAAGAGCGGAUUAGCUAGCUGUGCCCACCUUCUAAUCAGAGUAACCCUCCAACUCAUACAUUGUUUGAUGUCCCUUCGUUCUUACCGAAGUAUGAUUGCCAUGAUAAUUGCUAUGAUCCCAUUGAUUCAUUUGAAAUAUCCCUUUUUGAUGAACUUGAUGAUUGCUAUGCUUGUGGCCAUGAUGCCAAUAUUAAUUAUGCAUAUGGAGAUGAACUAGCUAUUGUUCCUUAUGUUAAGAAUGAAAUUAUGGCUAUUGCACCCACACAUGAUAGUCCUAUUAUCCUUUUGAAUUCUCCCAACUACACUAUAUCGGAGAAGUUUGCUCUUAUUAAGGAUUAUAUUGAUGGGUUGCAUUUUACCAUUGCACAUAAUGAUUUUGAGGAAUGUAAUAUGCAUGUGCUUGCUGCUCCUACUUGCAAUUAUUAUGAGAGAGGAACUACAUCUCCGCCUCUUUAUGUUUCCAACACGAUAGAAUUGCAAGAAACCGCUUAUGCUAAUUGGCCUUUACUUGAUGUUCAUGAAUUGUUCUUUUAUGACAUGGCGAUGCAUAGCAAGAGAGUUAUACUUUGUCAUUGCAUGAUAUAUGUUGCUUUGUGCUCACUACUAAAUGCCAAAUCAUUGUUGAUUCAAAUUGGCUUUGAUAUACCUUGGGAUCCGGGUGGAUUCAUUACUUGAGCACUUUAUGCCUAGCUUAAUGGCUUUAAAGAAAACGCUGCCAGGGAGACAACCCAGAAGUUUUAGAGAGUAAUUUAUUUCUGUUGAGUGCUUUUAUAUAGUUUAAAAACAAAAAAAUAUAGGGGGGGGCCUUAAAACUUCACAAAAAGAAAAGCGAAAGUGAGAGAGACGAGCAUUGUGAAAGUGGGGGACGUCCUUGAACUUUGUUCAUGCCCAUGGAAACUUUAUGAAUCUUAAUUCCAGAAACUUUUCAACAAAAAUAAUUAUCCCCUUGUACAAUUCCAUUGUAUUAUAAAAAUAAUGUGCCAUGGUUUGCCUUUAGGAUGAUUAAAUUGCUUGUUGGUUUGUGUGGUGCAAAACAGAAACUUUGGCUGUAGUGCUUGAUUUUACAUUUUUUACUGGAACGUCAAACGGUUCUGAAACUUUUUGUACUGUCUUUCUAUACAAAAUGUUUAUGUUGUCCUAAUUUUUCAGAAUUUUUAGAGUUACAGAAGUAUGGUGGAUGUUCAAAUCUUUACAGACUGUCCUGUUUUCACAGAUUGCUGUUAUAGCUUCAUUAUUUGCGUAUGUUUGAAUUCUUGUUGAAGCCUCCUUGACUUGGGGCCAUAGAAUUGUAAUAGAAUACAUUGGGUAAUGUUUGUUUAUAAUUAUACAAUAAUGUUACAACAGUACGUGAUGGGAUUUCAUUGUCAUAUUCACUAACCCCGCCACUAAAAGUUCAGUUGAGUUUCGUGUGGAUGAAGUGAUCAAAGAUCGAGGAUGUCUCGAUAUGAGGAGAAGGAGGAGAGGCAAGAGCUCAAGCUUGGGGAUGCCCAAGGCACCUCAAGUAAAUAUUCAAGGAGACUCAAGCGUCUAAGCUUGGGGAUGCCCUGGAAGGCAUCCCAUCUUUCUUCAACAAGUAUCGGUAUGUUUUCAUUCUCGUCCCGUUCAUGUGAUAUGUGCAAAUCUUGGAGCGUCUUUUGUGUUUAUUUUUCAUUUUUCUUUUAUUCACCAUGCUGGUAUGAGAUAGUCCAUGGUUGAUUUAUAUAAUGCUUCAUGUGCUUCACUUAUAUCAUUUGAAGUUUGGAUUGCCUGUUUCUCUUCACAUAGAAAACCGUUGUUUGUAGAAUGCUCUUUUGCUUCACUUAUAUUUGUUAGAGCAUGGUCUUUUGUAGAAAGAAUUAAACUCUCAUGCUUCACUUAUAUCUAUUUAGAGAGUCAACAGGAAUUGGUCAAUUGAAUGGUUAGUCAUAAAAUCCUAAAUAAAACUUGUGGAUCGCUGAAUAUGAUAUGUUUGAUUCCUUGCAAUAGUUUUGCGAUAUAGAGAUGAUAAUAUGUGGGAGGUACUAGUGGAUGAUUGUGUUUAGUAAGAUAUUGGUGUUAAGGUUUGUGAUUCCCGAAGCACGCACAUAUAGUCUCUCGUUAUGCCGGGAAGUUGGAGCACAACUUAUCCUUGAUUGUCCAUCUUUGUGUGAAGGUCGGGGGCGCGCGAUGGUUAACUUCUACCAACCUCCCCCCUAGGAGCAUGCGUAGUAGUACUUUGCUUCGAGGGCUACUAAACUUUUGCAAUAAGUAUAUGAGUUCUUUAUGACUAAUGUGAGUCCAUGUAUUAUACACACUUUUACCUUUCCGCAAUUUGCUAGCCUCUACGGUACCGUGCAUUGCCCUUUCUCACCUCGAGAGUUGGUGCAAACUUCGCCUUUGCAUCCAAACCCUGUGAUAUGAUAUGCUCUAUCACACAUAAGCCUUACUAUAUCUUCCUCAAAACAGUCACCAUACCUACCUAUUAUGGCUUUUCCAUGGCCAUUCCGAGAUAUAUUGCCAUGCAACUUCCACCGCUUCCGUUUGAUGACUUGACCAUUCAUUGUCAUAUUGCUUUGCAUGAUCAUACAGCUGACAUAGUGGUUGUGGCUCAGCCACCGUUCAUCAUUUUUCAUACAUGUUAUGCUAGAUCAUUGCACAUCCUGGUACAUUACCAGAUGCAUUCAUAUAGAGUCAUAUUUUGUCAUAGGUAUCGAGUUGUAAUUUUUAUUUCUUUUGAGUUAUAAGUAAAUAGAAGUGCGAUGAUCAUCAUUAUUCAUUUUUAUAGCAGUGCCCCAGGGAGGAAAGGAUGAUGAAGACUAUGAUUCCCCCACAAGUCGGGAUGAGACUCCGUACAAUGAGAGAAAAAAAA
rnacentral:lncRNA from 1 species